rnacentral:lncRNA from 1 species
GCGGUUCUUUCUUAAUUUGCAUCAACUUUCCUAGGAAAAAAUUCUCUGGUUUUUCUUAAGUCAUAUAAUUUAUUUUUCUUAAGUCAUAUCAUUUAUUUUUAGCAGCAGAAUACUUGAUCUUGAUAACGGUUCUUUCUUAAUUUCCAUCAACUUUCCUUGAAGGAUACCUUUUUGUUAAUAGCGAAACCUCUGAUCCUUAAGAUGGAAAAAGAAAUUCUCUAUUUAGAUAUCAGUUGGUUCAAGAUCAAUAUCGCGAUGUUGUUUGCAGUCUUUUCUUUCUCUGUCUUUCCCUUUAGUUCAUUUUAAUUUAUUUGUAUUCCUUUCUUUGACAUAUUAUUAGAUUUGUUAAGUAGCAGGCAAUGGCAGAAGUGGGUCUGGCUGCUUUUUCCAGCGUUGUAUCAGAAGGUGCAAAGUCACUGUUCAAACCGAUUAUACGGCAGAUAUCUUAUGUGUUCAAGUACCAGAGCUACAUAGAUGGCCUAAAAGAUCAAGUGAAGCAGCUGGGAUAUAGAAGAGAAACGGUGCAACAACCUGUUAAUCAUGCUAGACUACAAGGGGAUGAGAUUUAUGAGGGUGUCACAGACUGGCUAAAUCAAGUUGAUGAAUUCAGUGAAGGGGUUGCAAAAUCCAUCAUUGAUGAUGAAGAUAGAGCUAAGAAGUCCUGCUUCAGAGGAUUGUGCCCAAACUUGAUUUCUCGUUACAAGCUUAGUAAACAAGCAGCAAAGGCCGCAGAAGCUGCCGCUAGUCUCGUGGGAAAAGGAAACUUCUCUAAUGUUUCCUACCGUCCUGCUCCAGAGAGUACAGAACAAAUGGAAGUGAAAGAUUACGAGGCCUUUGAUUCAAGAAUGAAAGUAUUUCAAGAUGUUGUGGAGGCGUUGAAGGAUGAUAAGCUCAACAUAAUUGGGGUCUACGGCAUGGGCGGCGUGGGUAAAACCACGCUAGUCAAGCAAGUUGCAAGGCAAGUGAUGGAAGAAAAGUUGUUCGAUAAGGUCGUUAUGGCUGAGGUAACACAGACCCCAGAUCAUCAGGAAAUUCAAAAGAAACUUGCUUCUGAUUUAGGCAUAAAGUUUGAGUUGAAUGAGAGUAUAUUCGACCGAGCGGAUCGAUUGCGUGAAAGAUUGAAGAAAGAGAAGCGGGUCCUCAUUAUAUUGGAUAAUAUUUGGAAAAAACUCGAGUUCGAAAAAGUUGGAAUUCCUUCCAGGGAUGUUGAUGAUAAAGAUAAAAAGGAUGAUCAGAGACGAUGCACAAUAACAUUGACGUCUAGAAGUCGAGAUUUAUUGUGCAUUGAUAUGAAUUCUCAGAAAAAUUUCUCGAUCGAUGCUUUGCCACGAAAAGAAGCAUUGCAGUUAUUUGAGGAGAUAGUGGGUGAUUCAACUAAAAUAUCUGCUUUUCAAAGUAUAGCAAAUGAGAUCGUUGAAAGAUGCGGAGGUUUGCCUGUUGCACUGAGUACAGUUGCAAAUGCUCUGAAAACUAAGGAGCGUGACUUUUGGAAAGAUGCAUUGAAUCAGCUAAGAAGAUCGGAUGCAAGAGAAAUUCAUGGCAUGCAAGCAAAUGUGUACACCUCCAUAAAAUUGAGUUAUGACUUCUUGGAAAGUGAGGAGGCAAAAUCUCUGUUCCGUCUUUGUGGUCUAUACAGUGAAGGUAAUGUCAUACAAGUUUCUGACUUAUUGAGAUAUGGUGUGGGUUGGGAUUUGUUUGAAAAUGUUUACACAUUGGAAGAAGCAAGGAGUAGGGUGCAUCGGUUGAUCGACAAUCUCAAAUCUUCAUGCUUAUUGUUGGACGGAGAUGCUGAAGAUGAAGUUAAAAUGCAUGACGUCAUUCAUGUUGUUGCCGUAUCAAUUGCCGCAGAGAAGCGCAUGUUUAAUAUUCCAAAUGUUGCCGACUUGGAGAAAAAGAUGGAAGAGACAAUACGGAAAGAUCCAAUUGCCAUUUCUUUACCUUAUAGAGGUGAUCAAGUGCUUCCCCAAAGAAUGCGAUGUCCCCGUCUUGGGCUAUUUUUGUUGCAUAGGAAGGGUCUUUGCUCUAUGCAAGUUUCAGACCACAUUUUUGAAGGGACGGAAGGACUCAAAGUUUUGGAUCUUGCCAGAAUUCACUUCUCUUCAUUACCUUCAUCACUUGGGUGCCUCAUUAACCUUCAAACAUUGUGUUUAGACUAUUGCCGACUAAAAGAUAUAGCAAUAGUUGGACAGCUAAAGAAAUUAGAGAUUCUCAGCCUUGUAUAUUCCGAUAUCAAGCAGUUACCACUCGAAAUUGGACGAUUGACGCGGUUACAGUUGCUAGAUUUGAGCAAUUGUCGGAGCCUUGAGUUGAUACCACCAAAUGUCAUAUCAAAAUUAUCUCGAUUAGAAGAACUGUUUAUGCAUAACAGCUUUUCACAGUGGGAUAAGGUUGAAGGAGGAAGUAAUGCCAGUCUUGUCGAGUUGAAAGCGUUGACAAAGCUAACUACUUUGGAGAUAGAAGUUCCGGAUGCCGAAAUUCUGCCGCCGGAUUUUGUCUCCGUGGAAUUGGAAAGAUAUAAGAUAUUUAUAGGAAAAAUGUCUGUCCGACGGCUCGUCGAAUCUAAAACAUCAACAUUGAUGGUGCUCAAGGGGCCAGAAAGAGUUAGCCUUCUUUUGGGGAAUGAUGGGACGAAAAUGUUGCUGAAGAGAACUGAAGAUCUCCGUCUAUACUCACAGAAGGGUGUUCAGAAUAUUGUUCAUGAAUUAGACAAUGGGGAAGGUUUUCCACGAUUGCAGCAUCUUCUAGUAACAGACUGUUCUGAGAUUUUACAUAUUGUCGGUUCAGUUGGACGGGUUCGUUGCAAAGUCUUUCCCUUGCUGGAGUCAUUGGAUCUUAUUGAUUUAACUAAUUUGGAGACGAUAUGCUGCAGCCAACUCAGAGAAGAUCAAUCUUUCAGCAACUUAAGGAUUAUAAACGUAGAUUCCUGUCCAAAAUUGAAGUAUCUCUUCUCAUUCUCUAUGGCUAAAAACCUAUUGGGGCUUCAAAAAGUAAAAGUGAGAAAUUGCGAUGAAUUGGAAAUGAUGAUUGGUAAGUGUUUAAAUUAAUUAUUGGUAGGAUUAUUGACAUUGACUCAUUCUUUUUUUCUUUUUCUUUUUUUUUUGGGUGAAAAAACAACGGAUGUUUAUUAUAUAUUGUUUUUGUUCAUUUAUAGGGCCCGACAUGGAGAAACCAACAACUACUGAGGGACUCACAGAAAUCAUUGCAGAGGAUGAUCCUAUUCACAAGGUGAUAAUUUUCUGUUUAAUAAUUAAUUAAUUAAUAUUUUAUCGCGAUUGAUCUUCAAUCAUCAAAAGAAUAUUAUAUUAGAAGUUGUAGUUGAAGGAACAAAAAUGUACGGUUUUGCUGUGCAGGUUACUUUUCUACGCUUAGAGGAACUGAAACUUGACGGUUUAAAAAACAUCAAAAAAUUAUGGCCCGAUCAAUUUCAGGGAAUGUAUUGUUGUCAAAAUUUAACAAAAGUGACCGUGGAAAGGUGUUAUCGUCUGAAGUAUAUGUUUUCAUAUUCUAUGGUUAAUAGUCUUUUGCAACUCCAACAUCUUGAGAUUAUUAAUUGUUGGUCAAUGGAAGGGGUAGUCAACAACACCGCGGGGGGGUUAGGAGGAAGAGAUGAAUUAAAGGUUUUUCCUAAACUACACUCCCUGCGGCUCCAUUGCCUUCCAAAACUAUGUAGCUUCACCUCACCAGAAGACGUCAUUCACACUGAAAUGCAACCUCAAUCUUUCUUUAAUGAAAAGGUUUUUUUUUUUUUUUUUAAAUUAAUUUUAUUUUCAAUAGUUAAUUUCUUCUUUCGUUGAGUCUUCAAAUUUAAUUAAUAUCCAUCUCUAAUUGCAUUGAAUUUUUAACUUCAGGUACGACUCCCAAGUCUGGAGGUAUUACAUAUUAGUGAGGCGGAUAAGUUGAGAAAAAUAUGGCACCACCAGCUUGCUUCGAAGUCUUUUAGCAAAUUGAAAAAAUUGGAGAUAUCUUGGUGUAAUAAUCUAUUGAAUAUUUUUUCUCCAUUGGUAAGAUUGCUAUAUUCAUUUUGAAUUUUUAUUUCAAAUAACAUUCAACAAUUAUUUUAAUCAUUUUUGUGUUUACAAAUAAUUUUCAUUCACAAAUUAUUUAUUGCAAGUAUUGUACUUCAAACUUCUGGAGGGAAAAAAAGUAGUGUACUUCAAAUCACCAUUCUGAACUCUGCAUUUUCAAUCUAAUUUAUAGGUUCACCUGCAUUAAAGUCAACAAUAUAAUUGUUUUAAACACGAUUUAACAGCAUAAUAUAAUUCAAUUUAAUUUUUUUUUCUUAAAUCGUAAUAAAUAAGAUUUUCAGAAAUUAAAAGAUACUUAGUUACUCAGCUUUUAAGUUCACAAAUUCAUAUAUAUUUCUCUUGUCCUUGGGUCUUUAGAUUUCGAUUUUAAAAAAAAUAAAGAAAAGUGUUCAAAUGUAGUUAGUAUCUCUAGUUUAGUUAUGAAUUGAUUACGCCAUUGAUUAAGCACAAAUUCAUGAUGGUCAUUUUGAAUCGACCGUUGAUUAAAAAAAUUCCUCAAAUAUUCACUCUAUAACAAUCCCAUGUUGAUGGCGUUGGGAAGUGUUUUCCAGAAAUGUUUUCCAUUUUUAAAAGCAUGAAUAUCGGGAAAAAAAAAAAAAAAGAGAAAUACAACGUUUUAGUUUAGUUAUUUUAAAAAUAGGCAUGUUUGAAAAUUAAAAAUUUUUAAAAACUAGCAUCAAGAUGAAAAAUGAAUUUAUAAUAUUUAAAAAUUACCUGAAAUUCUUUCUCCGUUCCUAAUACUAAAUAGUGUAAAUGCAUUUUCAUUAUCUUUGUUUUUCUGGACUUCUAUUUAUUUAUUUAUUUUUGUUUUAAUUUUUUCCUUUUUUUCUUUAACAAAAAAUAUCUAGUAGACAUUCAUGAUUUGUUAUUUUUCAUAAAACAAUUGUAUGAUUUUGACAUACUUUGAAUCUAGUUGAAUGCUACUCUUUAUUUUAAGGUUGGAAUUCCUAGUAGCCUGGUGAAUCUUGAUGUAUCAUACUGUGAAAAAAUAGAAGAAAUCAUAGGACAUGUUGGAGAAGAAGCGAAGGAGAAUCGUAUUGCUUUCAACGAAUUAAAACUUUUGGUACUUGAUCAUUUACCAAGGCUUACCAGCUUUUGUUUGGAGGAUUACACUCUUGAAUUCCCAUCAUUGGAACGAGUUUCUAUGACAUGUUACCCGAACAUGAAGACUUUUUCUCAGGGAAUCGUAUCCACACCAAAGCUGCACGAAGUGCAGGUGAGUAAAAAGGAAGUAUUAAGUUUUAUAUGAAACUGUGAUGUUGUUUGGUUACUAAGAAAAUAGGAAGAAAGAAAACUUCUGUAAGCUGAGAAUUCUGUUAUUAUUGAUCUAAUGAAUCUGGAAAUUACAAGCCUUUUUAUAUGUGCAUAGAAGAUUCUACACACAUUGCACACACGCACAGUUUACUACUAACAACCUCUAUAACAACCUUUAGCUGACUCAGCUGCCAUGUCAGCAUACUCAUUAACUAACUAAUUCUAUUCUUAACAGGAAGAGGGUGAAUUGCGCCGUUGGGAAGGCAACCUUAAUUCCACUAUACAAAAGUGUUACGAAGAAAUGGUAUGUGUUAAAUCGAUUCGUCGAAAUUACUUAUGCAUCUCCCUUGCACUUGCACAUUUGAACAUAUAAGUUUAAUGUAUAUAUAUAUCUAAUGCCUUUCAAGAAAAAAAUUUAUAUAUAUCCAGUGCAAUUGUUUUGGUUUGUGCAGAUUGGAUUUCGUGACAUACAGGAUUUGCAACUCUCACAUUUUCCACGUUUGAAAGAAAUAUGGCAUGGCCAAGCACUGCCUGUCAGCUUCUUCAACAAUUUAGUACGACUGGUGGUGGAUGACUGCACGAAUAUGUCGAGUGCUAUUCCUGCCAAUCUGCUACGGUGCUUGAACAAUUUGGAAUACCUGGCAGUGACGAAUUGUGAUUCACUAGAAGAGGUGCUUCAUUUGGAAGAGCUAAAUGCUGACAAAGAACAUAUAGGUCCCCUGUUUCCUAGGCUUUACAGUCUAAGGCUCACUGAUCUUCCAAAACUCAAAAGAUUCUGCAACUUCAUUGGGAAUAUAAUUGAAAUGCCUGAGUUGGAGAAUCUAACUAUUGAGAAUUGCCCUGAUAUGGAAACAUUCAUAUCCAACUCUGUAGUGCACGUGACAAUAGAUAACAAGGAACCUCAAAAAUUAACAUCAGAAGAGAACUUCUUGCUGGCUCAUCAAGUACAACCUCUCUUCGAUGAAAAGGUGAUUAUUAUUAUUAUUAUUAUUAUUAUUCCCUUCACUUUCGUUCGCAUAGAUGUAAUUUCAUAAGAAUCAAGUCAAAUUUAAUGACUCAUCUUUUUGCAUGUCAUCUUAAUUUAUAUAUGAUUUAACAAUAUAACCGCAGUUAUUAACUAUCUUUAUAGUAUGAAUUAUAAAAAUGUCUGGAAUUAAUUGGAUUCCUGGCAACACGAGGUGCUGAACUAUAUUAAUUAUGUGUGUUAAUUCAUAUUGGAUUUAGGAUCAGAUUUCAUUUAUGUGUUUCAAAGGGUAAUCGAUUUGAUACUUAUAUUUGGGAUCCUACUGCAAAGCAUACUGAUUUGGAAAUAAAAUAUAAAAUGCCGUGAUUAAUCUUGUCCAUAAAAUAUGCAGGGGAAGACUGCAGAGAUUGGAUACAUAUUUUCAUUUCCAACUUAAUUUUGUUGAUUUUCAGGUUGCAUUCCCUCAAUUGAGAUGGUUAAACCUGUCUAGAUUACACAAAGUGCAGCAUCUCUGGAAGGAAAAUGACGAAUCCAACAAAGCGUUUGCAAACUUGGGAAGUCUAGAAAUAUCGGAAUGUAGUAAGUUGCAAAAAUUAGUACCACCUUCGUGGCAUUUGGAAAAUCUUGCGACUCUGGAAGUAUCGAAGUGUCACGGGUUGAUAAAUUUAUUGACGCUCUCAGCAUCUGAAAGUCUAGUGAAUCUUGAAAGAAUGAAGGUAGCUGAUUGCAAAAUGAUAGAAGAAAUCAUACAAUUGCAGGUUGGAGAAGAAGUGAAAGGCUCCAUUGUCUUCGAGAAAAUGAACUACUUGACACUUGAUUGUUUGCCAAGCCUAACAAGCUUUUGUUCGAGUAAUUACACUCUUCAAUUCCCAUUCUUGCAAAAAGUAGUUGUGAGACAGUGCCCAAAGAAGAAGAUUUUCUCUCAAGGAGUCGUAGACACACCAAAUCUAAACAAAGUGAAACUCACCGAAGAAAAAGAUGAUGAUGAUGAUGAAGAAGAUGAUGAUGAUGAAGGAUGUUGGGAAGGCAACCUCAAUGACACCAUAAAAAAAUUGUUCAAUGAAAUGGUGAGUAUCAAUUAAGUUUUGGUGCUAUUUAGCAAAUUAUUUUAUAGAAACUAGUGUGACAUAAUAUGAUUGGUUGACUGAAAAUAUAUAAUAAUAAUAGUAAAUAAAUAAAUUAUGAGGAGCAUGUAAUGUUUUUGUUUAACCAAUCAUAUUAUGUCGCAUUAGUUUAUACAAUAUUAUUUGUGCACAAGAGGUGGUGGUCAUAUCAUUACUCUAGUUUUAUUAUUCUUAUGGUGGCAAUGUAUGCUUGCUUACACGAGUAAUUACAAAAUCUGCAGAAUUCUAAAGAAGAGAUUGAGCCAAUCCUUCAGGUACAGUGAAGAAGCUAUCCCGAACCAGGCCAAUCUCUUAUACAUGAUUUAGCUUGCUCGUUCUUCUGUACUUGAAUAAUUUGGCUCUACAUAUUUACAAUUUUUUGCUCAUGCUACAGACUUGCAAGACACUUUGGAUUUUGUUUGAUGCAUUCUCCGUUUAAGAAAGGACUUGAAUUGAUGUUUCAUGUUUCAUGCAAUAUUCGAUUAGAUUCUGUCUAAAUUUCUGUAUUAUUCGUUCAAUUGGUCUUUUAAGCAUUUGAUUUCUAACCUCUCCUAAUAGAAUAUCAUUAGCCGAUGAAAACAGCAUAACAUUUGUGGUUGUGGCAUUAUCAGAAUAAGAAUAUUUUUUAGUAUAGUAAAAUUAUCUCGACCACUGUUAAAAAGAAUUAAACAGUCAAACUGACCUUCUCACACCAGCACGCUUUAAAUUAAAAGAAUUUCAUGAAGUCAAGACCAUGUUAUAGAUCUUGUGGAAAUAAGUGAACCCGUAAUUUUUUUCACACCAUCAUAAGAAAAAUCAUUUUUUUUAAGUAUUUUUGUUAGCUGUUGAGUUUUAAUAGUAGUAGCUAUUAAACAAUAACAAUUAGUGUAUAUUAAAAAGUUGGAAACUGGUUGAUACCACUCGGGAAUCGAGCAGUUCACUUGUUUGCGAGUAGAAACCAACUUUACUACUAAUUACACUCAUACCAAAAAUAGUGACGAAAGAAUCAGGGAAUUUCCUAUUCACUAUUCUUCAUUUUUUAAUGCAAAAUUCCCAUUCGAAAACACCAAUGACUUUCAUUCAAAGUAAAUGAGAAAUUACAAUGAAAAUAGAAUCAAAAUACAUAUAUGUAUACCUAAAACAAAUGAUUUUUUUAAUUAAAAAAAAAAUACAGUUGAGGUGAAAUGAAACCAGAGUCAUGAUAUCUCUGGUUCCAACUUUGGGACAACAGCAGACUUGAGUUCUAUAUGAGAAACACGUACAGCACCAAUCAGCCGCUCCAGUAAUUCAUCUGUAGUAUUUGCCUGCAUACAGAAGAGCAAGAUAAAGAAGACAAACACAGAAGCAUUAUAUCAUUCUGAGAACAUUCAAGUAUGCAAAAAUGCAAGUUGCAGUGCAAUAUCUCAAAAUCAUGUCUUUUCCCUUGUGUCCAUUUAGCAGUGGGGGAAAAAAACAAUCAUACAUACCUGUACAAGGAAAGCCAUGUCAACCACCAAUGUCGUAAUUACACCAAUUACAAGGCCCAAAACUCCAUUAGCAACAGUAGAAGAAUCGAUGUCAACAUCAAUCUACAGAAAGAUGAACAAUGUUAAACCAUGUUAAAGGUAUUGGACGCUAUUUGAAAGGGGAACAUCUCAUGUACUAUAGAAAUUCCAAGAGCAUUUACUUCUAAGUACUUGGGACCGCGAAUAUAGUUACAAUCAACUGCCUUCCCCAAUAAACAAGGGGUGCUUCCAACACUCUGGCGCACUAUCCAUGACCCCUGCAUGAUUCAGUGCUUAAAAUCAAGAACAAGUGCAAAACAAAUUCAAGAGGGUAAAAAGGACAUAGUUUGAAUCUGAAUCCAAAUCCAUUAAUCCAGAGUUCAUAGCUUGGAUGAAGACUGAUCAACUUCUGUUGAGUUGGAUGAUGUCGUCGAUACAGCAAAAUCUACUUGCUACUGUGAUUGACUCCACAACUUCAAAACAGCUUUGGGAGACUCUUACUAGUAUGUUUAUUUCUUAAUCACAAGCUAGAAUCCAAACACUUAGAAUGCAGAUUCAAACUAUUAAGAAAAGUGCAAUGCAUAUGUCUGAUUACUUUGCAAAAGUAAAACGUAUAGCUGAUACUUUAGCUCUAGCUGGAAAACCUGUUGAGUUAAGUGACCUUGUGAUGCAUGUAUUAACCGGUCUUGAUUCAUCAGAUUAUGAAUCUUUAGUCACAGCUAUUUUAGCUCGAGGUGAGAAGAUAACAUUAGAUGAACUAUAUCCUUUGCUGUUGAAUCAUGAAAAUAGAGUUGAGCAAAAGAAAGGAAAAAUUGCUGGUGAUGUGAUGCACAAUAUAACAGCAAAUAUUGCUCAGAAGAACUCAUGCUGGAAAGAAUAAUGGCAAUUUUCAAAAAAAUUAUGGAAAUAAUUCUGGAGGUGGAAAUAAUUCUAGGUAUGGAGGUUUUAAUGGAUAUGGAUAGGGUCAGUUUAAUAAUGGUGGUAAUUCCUUUGAAAUUGUUUGUCAAAUCUGCUUAAUACCUGGUCAUGCAGCCAAUAGAUGCAAAAAUAGGUACAAUUCAUCUUUUGUUCCACAAAGAAACUAUGGCAGAGGUAAUAUGAAUGGUGUCAGAGGUUUUAAUCAAGGGCAAUAUGGUAGAGGAAGAGCUUUUAAUGGUAAUGGUGGCAGAGGUUUUGGAGGUUUUGGUUUAAAUGCCGGUUUUGGCUAUGCACCCAGGGGUUUUGGCUAUCAAGGAAAUAUAGUGUAUCCAGAUAGGAAUCCUUCUGCUUAUUACUCAUUCACCCUUGGACCAUCUACUUUUGUUUCUGGUCAAGGAAAUAAUAAUCCUGGACAGUCAAGUGCUUCAUCUUCCUCAGCUAUGCCUUCUUCACUUCCACCAGAACACAUUGAAGAUCCUUCAUGGUAUAUUGAUAGUGGAGCAACAAAUCACAUUACAAAUUAUCUAGGUAAACUUCUGGAUUCACAAGUUUAUACUAGUACUGAAAAAUUGUUUGUUGGAGAUGGAAAUGCAUGAGCUAUUACACAUGCAGGAUCAGUUGUGCUAAAUACUUCAACUUCUAAACCUUUAAGAACCAUCUUCUGCAUGUCCCUUUUAUUACUAAGAAUUUGCUUAGCAUUUCAAAAUUAUUGGCUGACAAUCCAGUUAUUGUUGAAUUUCUUGGUGAUUUGUGUUUUAUAAAGGCUAGGAACACAGGGAAAAUUUUACUUGAAGGUGUUGCUAAAGGUGACUUGUAUAGAGUCUCUUCACAUGUUGCUGCUCAUUCAGUCUUUCUCAUUUCAGUUGGUCAAAAUAAAACUCACUCUCUUUGCUUGUUCUCCUGUUUUCAAUUCUGAUCAGCUCACUGCUGUUAGUUCUUAUGAAUUGAAUAAAAAGUCAUGUCUGUCAGUUGUUACAAAGAGUUCUAUUGAUGUAAAUCUUCUUCAUAGAAGAUUAAGACACCCAGCAUCUUAUACUCUCAAAACUAUACUCAAAACUUGUAACAACUCUACUGCUUAUAAUAAAAUUGAAAGCUUGAAAUUUUGUUCAGCAUGUCAAUAUGGGAAAAAUCAUAUGCUGCAUUUUGAUUCAGUUGAAACAAAAACUUCAGCACCCUUACAAGUGAUAUAUGCAGAUCUUUGGGGUCCUUCUCAUGUCUAUUCUACCCAAGGAUAUAAUUACUACUUAUCAAUCUUAGAUGAUUAUAGUAGAUUUACCUGGAUAUUUCCAUUGUCAGCCAAAUCUGAUGCUCUUGAAGUGUUUACCAAUUUCAAAAUUUUUAUUGAAAAGCAUCUUCAACUUCAAAUCAAAACUGUCCAAACUGACUGGGGAGGAGAGUUCAGAACACUUUCCUCAUUACUCACUGCUUCUGGUAUCCAUUUUAGACACCCUUGCCCACAUAUUCAUCAUCAAAAUGGAAGAAUUGAGAGGAAACAUAGACACAUAGUUGAUGUAGGUCUGACCUUAUUAGCUCAAGCACAUUCACCACUCAAAUUUUGGUGGAAUGCAUUCCACACAGCUGUCUAUUUGAUAAACAGACUUCCAACUCCAGUUCUAAACAACAUUUCUCCUUUCCAAAAGUUAUUUCAUCAUCAACUAGAUUAUUCAACACUUAAAACCUUCGGUUGUGCUUGUUAUCCAACACUCAGACCAUACAAUAGACAUAAGUUUGAUUUCAGAACUGCCAGAUGUAUAUUCAUUGGCUACAAUUCACAACACAAGGGAUAUCAGUGUCUUCACUCUUCUAAGAGGGUUUACAUUUCAAAUCAUGUCACCUUUGAUGAAAAUUCUUUUCCUUGUGAGUCUGGAGCAGAUUUUUCUUCACUCUCUUCAAGUUGUCAGUCAACAAAAAACUAUAAGUCUUCUUUCAAUUCCUCUGUUCCUUCUGUUACUCAGUUACAAGCACCUUUAGCAGCAUCAUCAGAACACCAUCAAAAUGUUCAUCAUUUAGAUGCUCCUACUCCCUCACCAAAUUCUACUCCACUUUAUUUUUCUGAUAAUUCCAACUCAGCUUCUUCUUCUUCACCACCACAUAAUUCACCUCCACAUACAUUGCCACAACCUGCAUCAACUGGUCAUCCAAUGAUAACCAGGUCAAAAGCAGGUAUUUUCAAGCCAAAAAUUUAUUUGUCAGCUUUAUUAGCCCAAAAAUCAGAACCAACUUCUGUUUCCCAAGCACUUUCUGAUCCUAUGUGGUAUAAGGCUAUGCAAGAAGAGUAUCUAGCACUUAAAACUAAUCACACCUGGGAUUUAGUUUUACCUGCUACUCCAGUGAAGAUAGUUGGCAGCAAAUGGGUGUUUCGAAUAAAGUAUAACUCAGAUGGUUCAGUUUCAAGAUAUAAAGUCAGGCUUGUUGCAAAGGGGUUUCAUCAGACACAUGGGAUUGACCAUACAUAAACUUUUAGUCCAGUGGUUAAAGCUUCAACUGUUAGAGUUAUUCUUAGCUUAGCAGUAUUGAAUCAAUGGGUGAUUAGGCAAGUAGAUGUUAAUAAUGCCUUUCUAAAUGGCAUUUUAAUUGAAGAGGUGUACAUGGCUCAACCUGAAGGUUUUGUUGACUCAACUAAACCUAAUCAUAUCUGCAAGCUGAAUAAAGCUUUGUAUGGCUUAAAACAGGCACCCAGAGCCUGGUUUGAUAGAUUCAAGGAUGCAAUGAUCUCUAAACAGCAUUUCCAACAUUCAAGGUCUGAUAACUCUCUGUUUCAUGCCUGGAACAGUGGUCAUCUAACUCUUGUUUUGGUCUAUGUUGAUGAUAUUAUCAUCACUAGUUCCAGUCCAACACUAAUUCAGCAAGUUAUUCAGAGUAUGAAUCAAGCCUUUGCUUUAAAAGACAUGGGGGAACUUAGCUAUUUUCUGGGGAUUGAAGUCAGCAAGUCUUCAUAAGGGGUUUCCUUGACACAAGCAAAGUAUAUUACUGACAUUCUAGAUAAACAUGGCAUGACAGAUUGCAGUCGUGUGCCUACUCCAAUGUCUACUGGUUAUUAUCUCACAAAAGAAUCAGGAGAGCUAAUUGAUAAUGUUUCUCAAUAUAGGAGUGUUAUAGGAGCUCUUCAAUAUGUUACUCUUACCAGACCUGACAUUGCUUUCUCUGUAAACAAGCUAAGUCAAUUCCUUUCAAGUCCUAGAACACAACAUUGGGAAGCAUGCAAAAGGUUAUUGAGGUACUUAAAAGGCACUAUACAUCUUGGGCUGCAAUUUAAUAACAAAGGAGCUUUGCAACUACAUUGUUUUUCAGAUUCUGACUAGGCUUGUGAUCGUGAUGAUAAGAAGUCACUGGUUGGCUUUGCUGUUUACCUAGGCCUUAAUCUAGUCUCAUGGUCAUCAAAGAAACAAGCUGUUGUUUCCAGGUCCAACACAGAGGCUGAGUAUAGAUCUCUUGCUCAUGCUGCUUCAGAGGUUCCCUGGAUACAAUCUUUACUUGGUGAACUUAACAUCAAAUUGAGCUCUACUCCUAUGAUGUGGUGUGAUAAUCAAGAAGCAAUUGCUUUAGCUUACAAUCCAGUCUAUCAUGCUAAAACUAAGCAUGUCGAAUUGGAUAUACAUUUUAUCCGAGAUAAAGUUACUGCUAAAGAGAUUGAAGUAUGUUUUGUGCCCAGUCAAGAUCAAACAGCAGAUGUGUUGACUAAGGCUUACUUUCAAACAGUUUAGUUACUUAAGAAGCAAGCUGAAUGUUCAUCCUAAACAUUUCAGCUUGAGGGGGGAUGUAGUGAAUUGAAUGAAGUUGGAGCAAAGCAUGAUGUUGCUGUGUAGCUGACUGUAGCAGAUCAACUCACUAGGCUGACCUGGCAAAGUUAGUUAGCUGGUUGAGCUGAUGUGUCAAAUUAGUUAUGCAGCAAAUGGUUAUGUGAUGUAAAAAACUUGUGUGUGUGUUGAGCAAAUUGUAGCUUAAUAUAAAUAUCAGUCUGUAUUCAUUUAGUUGUAAUGCUAGAGUAAUAAAGGUUCUACAAACUUCUUUACAGCGCUUUCUUUUAUUUUCUUUCAUUUUCUAGCUUGCCAAACAAUACAAAACUAAGUUUCUUUCGGAAAAGGAAAAAUAAAAAGAAAAGAAUAGUUACUUGUGCAGUACAGCCUUGACGCCUAGCUACAUGGUCCAUUCUCUGUGUCUUUGAACCAAUCAACAGCAACAAGAUCCAUUAAAUGUUUUCCCGCAGGUAUCUGCAGUUACAAAUUGCACAAAGCACAAGAGCCAACCAAACUACAUCAUAACCUGUCGACCUAGCAUAUGCAGGAUAUAUAACUACCAUAACAAACAACCAAAAUAUGGGGGAACCUUUGUUUUGUCAUAACAAAAAUGCUUGCUACGAACUCUAAAGUUAUUUCCACCAGAAAGUUUCCAGCAGUCACGAGCAUUAUCACAGUCAUCGUGUCGCAGAUUGCCUGAAAAAUAAGAAAAAUCAAUUUGAUCAGCCUGCUCUUCCUCUAGGGUAGCAACUAAUUGAAAAUUAUAAACCAAAAAAAAAAAUCAAUACCAUAAAAAUCCACUAAUGAGGACAUUAGCCAAAUAUACAAAAAUGAAUACUUAUCAUCCACCUGUCCUCUUGAAAUCAUUCUCAAUCUUUUUUUCAUUUGAUGGCAGGAAUUAUUGAAAUUGGAGCCAUUUUUUUUGUGGGAAUUGAAAUAUAUUCUUUAAAUUAUUACAUAAAUAGCAAAAUGUACAUACACACACAUAUAUAUAAUUCAUAUAUAAAAAUUCUCUAAUUUGUUCACAAGUACCAUAGAUUAUAAUUCAGUUAUGAAAUAAAAUAACUACAAUAAUUAUAGUUAAAUGAAUACUUCAUUAAUUCUUAAUUUGCUUCCUAACAUUAAAUGAACAACUUGAGUCAGCCACCUGAAUCAACCAGUAACAACGCCUGAGUCAACCAUCUGAAAAAACCAGCAACCCUAGCUGAUUCAAGCACCUGCAAUUAACAUCAACACAACAGGAACAAUCAUAAAUCAGCACCAAGAACAGACCAAACUGCCAUCAAAUGCCACAAAACCAAACAGUCUGCUACUGCCAUCAAAUGCAAGCAAACAUAUGCAACAAAACCAGAUGCAAGUGAAAUUCUGGAGAAUAUCGGAUAAACCAAACCAAAUGCCACACUUCUAGUAAUUAGACUAGAUGCAGUGUUCAAUUAAACUAAAUGUAGUCUCAUAUUACAUUCAAAUUUUCUAAAAAAACCAGUGUUCCAUCAGAGAAGCACCAAAACCAAACCAAUCUAAUCCAGCAUAAUUACCAGCUCAACCCAAAACAAUUACACAUUAUAUUGACAUAUCAAAAUUCGCUAUCAAAACAUAGCCAAAUAAAUGACAAUAAACUGAAAACAGACCCGAACCAACUGAUGUUGCAGCCCUAGUAGUCAUUGUGCGUUCCACUGCCAUAGGAGCGAGGGUAGGCUCCGUUGUUGAUGAGUGAGUAAGAUAAGGCUCCAAAUCAAUAGUUCCACCUCCUUUCUGCAAUUCAAAAAACAGAAAUUCAUAUAUGUAAAACUAUUAAAAAGUGUGAAACAACCUGUAAGUAUUCAACUUCUGUCAACUCAAUAGCACUUACUAAAGUUUUUAUACAGAAGAAAAAGGCAUUUUAAGUCCAAAAAAUUAGAAUUAUUGGUUGAACUCCAACUCCAUCAAUCCAUGCAACCAUCCAACCUUUAACGAAAAAAUGAAGCAUAAUUAACAAGACAUCUGAAUCAGAAAGAUUGUGCUUUGAUUUGGCACGAGGUGUUGGAAACAACUUAACAAAUCUAGACACAAUCUAUAACCAUCAAGUCCAAACAAAAGUCAGGAUCUAAAAUACUUUGAAAAAUCAGAAAAACCGCAAAAUAUCAGUUUCAAUUUCUUUUUCACCCAUUGUAAGCUCAAACUGAAGGUAGCGGCGCUACCUUUAAACAUCAUUUGGGCUUAUACAUGUGACAUUUGCUCAUGAACAACUAAAGUUGAAUAAGAUUUUUAUAUGAAACGGAAUAUAAAAAGUCAAAGUAGAAUAUGACAGGACCAACAAUAUAUUAUUCAGCAUUAGCAUUAUGUAUAAAAUAAAUUUAGAGGCAUCAUAUUCAUUCACAAUCUUGCAGAGGUAAUACCAGAUUAUGGCACGCAACUCUUGAAUAGCAGAUAAAGGAGGAGAUGCAGUGGGAAGGUAGUAACUUGCUUGCAUGAGAACUAAAAAGUAAUAUCCCAAGAUCAAUUAUAGAUCUCAUAAAACAAAAACAGUGAGGCAAACACAAUUAUUGUGAACAAUUAUUCAUAGAACCACAUAGCAGCAACAAGAUCAAAGUCAUCUGUGUAUAAAUCGAUUCCCCACAGCUGACUGCCUCUGACCUAAACAUAAUGAAAUUACAUAACUAAGAAGUAGAGUCAUAAAAUAUGCUGCUGUAACAGCUAUCAAUAAAUUUCCAGACAAAUGGAAUUUGAUAUGUAAGGCUAUAACUAGCAACACUUCAAAAUAAUUUGAAGUAGCAUGAUCUUACUUUAAGGAUCAAUACUACAAUCUUUCAGAAAAAUUAAAGUCUAACCAAAAUUAAAACCUUAAACAUACUAAAAUCUGGUAAAUAGACCUAUAGGAAUUCCAAUGACCUCCAAAAUAUUUGAAAGAAAAAUUAAUUUACAGCAAAAAAUGUUAAAGAUUUGUAAAAUGGAGGCCCAUACUACUAUUCAAAUUACAAAAGAGGAAAGGGAGCUGGCCAUUAAAUGAUAAAGGCAUGCAUAAAGAAAUACGAGCACCACAUUAAAUGAUAAAGGCAUGCAUCGAGAAAUACAAAAAAUAUGCCCAUAAAGACGUCCACUCAAGCCUUAUAAGCGGCUUUAUGCAAAGGAAAGCCAAUUAGUUAACAGUAAAUGAAUUUCAAGGUGCAAUAAUUAAACUCCCUGAUCAGCACAUUUAAGGUUCAUGCAUUUCUACAAAACAUGUAAAUCAUAAGAACUUUUUUGGUCCAAAUGCUAACCAGUAAUUAAGUAGAUUAUCAAAGUAGUCACAGAACAAGCACCACAUUGAUUGCUAUGCAAAAGAUGAAAGUAAAAGUUAAUACUUUAUUUUAUUUUACUUUUCGAGAGUUUUGAUCAUCAUGUGCAAAAUAGUAGUAUAACUUGCUCAGUGUUAUCUCAAAAAGCUUGCUUAAAAUACCUAUUAGCACCAGUCCAAGUUGUCAAAUAAAUCCUUAUCUAUCCAUUCAUCUCUGACCUUGCCAAAAAGAUUUAAACGAGCAUCUAUAUUCUCACUCCAAUCUUUCACAAUCAUAGGCUUUAACUUAGACCAGUUCUUCAAUAUCCCUUCCACUGUGAGCCCCUCGAAAACCUUGUAAAUUGAAUCACAUUUGUCGUCAGUUUCAAAUCCAUCUGUCAAAAGGCUAAGCAAAUGAAUAUACAAUCAACACCAUUCUUCCAAACGAAUAUACAGUCAACACCAUUCUUCUAAACACAAACAAAGUUUGAACGUAUGACAGAUUUUUAGCCAUUUAAUAUUCCAUCAAAUAUAAUUAGAUCACACCUACCAAGGAUUUUUGAAAAGAAUGCAUUCUCAUCUUAAGCAGCAACCUCACUAGUAACACAUUUUCAUACCCUGUUUCCACCUCUGGUCGCACCACCAAAAAAAAUUCAGUACUAAUUAGCUUUAAUAUGUAAAUUUUCGCUUAGUUUAAGCUAGGGUUUUCUUUCGAUUGAAACAGAGGAAAGCUUUUGGGUUAUUAAAGUGAAAGAUAUGGAAUAAUACAAAAAAUUAUUGAAGUGAAAGAGCAGGAAUACAAAAAAUCAGCAGAUGAGAUCGUUGAAAGAUGCGGAGGUUUGUAUAUAAAUAUUAAAUUGAUCGUUGAAAGAUGUAUAAACCUCCAUAAAAUUGAGUUACGACUUGAAGGAUUGUAUAUAAACAUUAAAUUGAUCUAAUUUAACUUGUAUGUAAACACUAAAUUGUAUAUAAAUACACAAAACAGAACCAUAUCAGUGUUGGAAAAAAAAUAAGAAUCCAGAGUUAUAUAAAUUCAAUAAAAAAGUAUUGAAUUUUUUAUUACUAACUUUGAACACUCUAAUUUCAAUAAAAAAAAUAUAUUACUAAAAUAGUCUUAAUUGAAUUUAAUAUUAAAGAUAUUAGAAUAACUCAACACUAAUAUUCUCAAAUAUAUUUCUCUCCAUAGUCUAAUCUAAUCCAUUCUAAGAAUCCUAUAGAAAAUCUAUUAUUUACUUUUUCCUUAUUAAACACAAAAACAUGUCAUUUUGUUGCUAACUAAAAUUUUGGAACUAACAACAGCAGAUUAACUAAAAUUAUCAGGAAAAGAAAUCAAACAGGAUUUUAAUCGUCAUCAUCUUCACUCUUGCCUUUUUCUUUUUCUUCACACAUGUGGCUUGCACACGCAUUCCCCUCUCUCAUCCUUAGGGCCGCCCUUCAACAAUAUCCAAUCAUCGAUUAUAAUUAUUUAGAUUGACCAAAUCAAGCUUUGAUCAUAUAUCGGUUGAGGUUAGAAGUAGGCAGGCAGCAACGACAAUACUAAUUAAUAUCUCAUGAGAAUUUUAAAAAAGAAUCUAACGUUGCCCAAUUCGUUUGAUUUCAAUGAAAUCUUUCUCCUACCUAUACUUUCGCAUAUUCUCUUUUAUUUCCAAAGUUAAGGUUAUGGAUGUUGUAGAGUAAAAAGAUGAACAUUGCUAGGAAAGCAAUAAAAGGAAAUAAAUAAAAAUUAAAAAUAUAAAAAGAGUUAAGUCAUUUUUUUUGUCUAUUAGUGUUUUUGUAUUUAAUAACGAAAGAUAAAAAUGAAGUAAAUAUUAUCUGUUAGAUUAUUAAAAUACAUACUUAAAAUGUUUUAGUGACAAUCUAAUUAUAAAUUAAGGGUCUAUUUGAGAUUGAGAUUGAACAGUUAAAAUGUUAUAGUUGUUGUAGUUUAGAAGUUAAGAUGAUUUGAUUUUACACUUAUAUGAUAAAAAAUUAUUAUAUCUUUAUUAAUUUUAUCAAAAUUAUUAUUAAAAAAACUAAAUUUAUUAUAUACUAUUAAUUUUUAUUUUAUACUUAAAAUUUUUUUUUUCUUACGGCAAAAGUUUUAGCACCUCAAUACCCAACCAAGUCUAAAACUGCACAAUAAUAAUUAUGAGUGUGCAUGUUAAAAUCUACACACAUUCUUUAAUUUCAAUCAACAGUGUUACAAACUUAGUUAAAAUAUUAUAUCUGAAAUUAUUGAGGGGAAAAAAAAAGAAAAAAGAAUGUUGUUUUCAUGAUAGUGACAUGCGUCGUGCACAUUUUGCUGUUGGCUCUUUGGUCUCUAACCUAGCGAAUAGGUUGCUGUGUCCUCGUUGUUAGAUGCCCGAACCCAGCGCAAGAACUUUGUACGAUACCAUAUAUUUUGUAUGAAUUUAAGCUGAAGUUGGUACCUUUUAUUGUUUUAUAUCAUGACAUCAGGGAAAUUUUUAAUAGAUCUUCAUUUUAGGCUAAAGUACCCGAACAAUAGUUCCCAUGCACUUUGUGAUCUUUUUACAAAAUAUUAAACUAAAUAGCUGUGGAAGUAACAAAGAGGGCAACUUUUUACCAUAAUGUGAUGAAAAUAAUUUAUUUGUUGUCAUCACGAACUAACCAAAUCAAAACAAAAAACUAACUCAAAUCUGUGCGUCUAGUAACUUAUAUGAUGAUCAUUAGAUCUUGUUCUUGUUAAUGCGUCUAGUAACUUAUAUGAUGAUCUGAUGAUAUCCGUAACAUUAACAUACCCAUAAUCCAUUAUUUUAUAAUUAUAAAAAUUGAAGAUUCGGUCAUGCAAUUUUGUAUGAUGAACAGUGUUUCAUUUUUCUGUGAAACAUAAGAACAAUUUGUAAAUAAUGUCCAUGCGGACCUUGUAAUAGCGAAGCAUCAUUAUUGAUCUUACUUUGAUGAUCGCACUUUAGUUUCUUUUUAAAGUGCCUUUUGUUUAUUUUAUCGGCAUCCGCUUUUACAAAAGUUUUGGUCCUCGUUCAUUCAUCAAAGCUUCUACUUUUAUCUUUUAUUAGGCAUCUUAUAAAAAGCUUAAUUUAAUUGGAUUCAUGUUCGAUAUGAAGAUUGUUUUACUUACUUCAAUCUUUCAAUCAACCGAAUUUAUUCUUUUCUGAUCUGGAAAUUAUUCAUGAAAAAAUAGGCGCGUCAGUAGGACAACAGGGACCAAGUACAUAAUAUGAAAAUUCAUUUGUAUUGCUUACUCUAAUAAGCUCUUAAACUCACACAUUCCUCUGCAGUUACCAGUGAUCUUUUGCUCACUAAAAUUGUUAAUAUAUAUUCAAGGUGAAUAAAGAAACUCAUCAUCCCAGAUAAUUAAAGAGGUGAACUUGUUCUAAAUCCUUUAAUAAUUUCUAUUAAUAGCAUAUAUAAUCUCUAAUCCUUGAUCUUGAUAGUAGUUCUUUCUUAAUGUCCAAGAAAAAUAUCUCUCAUUUGUCUUAAUCUUGUCAUUUAAUUUUCUUGAAUUCUGAGUUAGUGUUUAUUGUUAAAUUCGGUUUUCGGUUAGUAGCUGUUGGUUAAUAGCUUCGGUUAAUCCUUGAAUUAAACAUAUUAAAAUCUAAUCAUAAACCCGCCUUUCCCUAUUUUACGACACCCUUUGUGUAAUAGUGACUUCAAAAGUGUAACAUAUUUUUGAACAAUUGCAAGGAAAGAACAUAUUUGACACUUCACGAAACGGUAAAUAUAUAAGCUUCAAUUCUUGUACAACAAAUUAAUAUAACCAACAUCAACCGUCAAUUGAUCAAUAAUUCAGUAACAAAAAGGGACAGAUAUCCUAGUCUUUCUUUACUAAUGAAGCAAGCCAUUAAACUUCGAAAGCUAUUUCUAUUUCCACAUUCUUCAUGUACCAAAGCCAAAAAAAAAAAAAAGCAACAAAAAUUUGGAAGUAAUCAUCUUUAUUCAGCAGCAUGCAUAUUAAUUAAAACAUAUUCAAAAAGAGAUAUACAAUAUCAGGUCUGGAGACGAAAUGAGCCCACAGAGACUACCAAUAAUGUAGUGGCUUGAUUAAAAAUAUUAAUCAAGCCACUACAUUAGAAGAACAAGAGUUAAUCAUGCAUAUUAAUUAAAAAUAUUUUUGCUAUCAUCCACCUGUUCUCUCUAAAUAGUUGCCACUUUUUUUUUUCGUUUGUCUGAAAUUCCAAGCAAAAAUAUAAUUAGAAGAACAAGAGUUAAGGGUUAAAAAAAUGGAAAAAUAGGGCUCCUCUGUUUUCAUUCCCCUGUUUUUCUGUUCGGUGAUUACAAAGAUUUAAAUCAAAAUUUAUGAUGCAGGCUACACGGCACCUGGUGGAAGACUGCUAGGGUUUACCUUUUAUUGUUAGUUAGAAAUUUAAUUUAGAAUUUGUAGUGUUUGCCUUAUAUAAGUAGGUUUCCUAAUAGUAAAAUUAAAUAAUCAAGUUUAUGAUGCACUAGGAUAUGGUUGUGAUAAAUGAGCUUUUUAUGUAUCCUGUGAGGCUGAUUAUUAUUUUAUUACAUUGAAGAUUCAGUCAUCUCUUGGUAGUCUUGUGAAUCAAGCGGAUUUAGUUAGUAGUAGGUAAUACUCUGGACUUCACAUAGUAAACGGAAUGGAGCAUUAUUUUAUCCCGCUAAAUCAGUUUUUUUUUUAAUUAAAAAAUAAUUCAUCAAACACUUUAUAGCUCUGGUUUUAAGUUGGUAAACACUUUAAGCCGCAACUUUAAAUUCAGUUUACGAGAACUCCUAACAGUCACUGUGGCUUGGGUAGAAAUGAAUAUACUAGCAUAAGUAAUGCUACCCAGGAAAUGUAGUUGAACCUAACCAAACUAAAACCAGAUGAUGAAAGCUUAUAUACGCCAAGAGAUUUAUUCGUUUCUGAGUUUGUUUCCAGAAACCCGGAACCUCCCCUGUUUCUACAAACACGGCACCUUUGUUUUCAUUCCCCUGUUUUUCCAUUUGGUGAUUGUAAAAAUCUAAAUCUAAAUUCUUGAUGCAGUCUACACGGCACCUGCUAGAUGAUUGUUUGGGUUUAUCUUUUAUUCUUAAUUAUCAAUUUAAUUUAGAUUCGUAGUGUGCACCUUAUGAAAGAUUAAAUAGAAUAAUGUGAAAAAAAAAGAAUGCCUUUGUUAAUUUUGACUUCAUAAUGUUGCAGUAACCGUCCUCUCUUAUCAUUCCCCUGUUCUUUGGUUUAGUGAUUGCAAAUAACAUUCUUUUCAUCUACUCUUUAUUUAUUUAUUUUUAAUUUUUAACUCAUUAAUUCUUGUUCUUCUUAAAGCGUUUAGUAAAUUAUAUGAUCACCUGAUCAAAUCCCUCACAUUAACAUACAACAUAACUAACAAAGUGUUGGCUCCACUGGCAAUGGAGUCUCCUCAAGUGGCUUAACUGGAUUUGCUCUCCAGUUCGACUCGCAAGGAAGUCGCCUUUGUUGGGAAAACUUGUACCAAAAACUCUGAUCUGUUGGCUUUGUAUCAGUAUUGCUUGUUUGUUGUCUUUUAUUUCAUUAUUUGUAUCUAAGUUUAUUUGAAGAUUACAGAUCAGCAGGAAAAGCCCUUUUUCUAAAGCUAACUAUACAGAUUUUAGAAUAGGGCUCAACCACAUGAAAAUAUUUACGUUGUAAUAUCUCAUAUUAAUAAUCUAAAAACAACCAAUCCAACAAGUUCAAAUUCAGUCAAAUCUAAAAAAAAAUUGCUUUUAAGGAGUACAUGAUAGCUAUUAAACUUUGGUUAAAGAUCUUUUGGGCAAACGUGAAAUUCAGUCAAUCAUAAAUCAACCAAUCCAACGAGUUCAAAUUCAUCACUUGCAAAAUUAAGUUUUCUUCCGAAAUUGAGUUUUUUCCAGUAGAAAUUUUCCCGCAGUCACGAGCACUAUCAUCAAAACAAGAUUAUUAACAUAAGAACAAGAGUUGAGGAAAAAAAUAUCUGUUUAUAUGGACACGGGGUGCACGCUUUAAGUCUUGUUCUUUUACAAUUCAAUUGUAUUGCUUACUCCCAUAAACUCCUUACUCACAUUCUUCUGCAGUUAACAGUGAUCUUUUGCUCAUUAAAAUUUUUCUUAUAUAUCGAAGGCCAAGAGUGAAGCUCAUAAACUCUGUGAUCCUAGAUAACCGAAGAGGUGCGUUUGUUCUAAAUACUUUAAUAAUUUCUUUCAAUCGCAUAAUUUCUAAUCUUUGAUCUUGAUAGCAGUUGUUUCUUAAUGUCCAACAAAAACUAUCUCUUGUUUGUCUUAAUCUUGUCAUUUAAUUUUCUUGAGUUUUAAGUUACUGUUUAUUGUUAACUUCUGUGUUCUUAUGCAGUAUUAUUAAUGGUUAAUUUGCAUCCAUCUUCCAAAAAAGUUUUCUUUCUUCAUAAAAUUGUUGGUUUUCCAUUCAGGCCCCUGAAACCUUUUUCUAAAAAGUUUUUUGUUGUCGUUUCUUUCUUUUUCUUCCCCGCUAGUUCAUUUAAUUUAUUUGAAUCCAUUUUUUUUUCAACAGCCAAAAACUAGAUAUUUAUAGUUAAGCAACAGGCAAUGGCUAUAGAAGCGUGUCUGGCUUUUUUAACCAACUGUGUAUCAGAAGGUGCAAAGUCACUGUUCAACCCUAUUACACGGCAGAUAUCUUAUGUGUUCAAGUACCAGAGCUACAUAGAUGAGCUAAAAGAUCAAGUGAAGCAGCUGGGAUAUAAGAGAGAAAUGGUGCAGCAACCAGUUAAUCAUGCUAGGCUACAAGGGGAUGAGCUUUUUGAGGGUGUCACAGACUGGCUACAUAGCGUUGAUGAAUUCAUCAGUGAAGGGGUUGCAAAAUCCAUUAUUGAUGAUGAAGAUAGAGCUAAGAAGUCCUGCUUCAAAGGAUUAUGCCCAAACUUGAUUUCUCGUUACAAGCUUAGUAAACAAGCAGCAAAGGCGGCAGAAGCUGCCGCUAGUCUCGUGGGAAAAGGCAACUUCUCCAAUGUUUCCUACCGUCCUGCUCCAAAGCGGGCAGAACAUAUGCAAGUGAAAGAUUUCGAGGCGUUUGAUUCAAGAAUGAAAGUAUUUCAAGAUGUUGUGGAGGCGGUGAAGGAUGACAAGGUCAACAUAAUUGGGGUCUAUGGGAUGGGCGGCGUGGGCAAAACCACGCUGGUCAAACAAGUUGCAAACCAAGUGAUGGAAGAUAAGUUGUUCGAUAAGUUCGUUAUGGCCGAGAUAACACAGACCCCAGAUCAUCAUAAAAUUCAAGACAAACUUGCUUUUGAUUUAGGCAUGGAAUUUGACUUGAAUGAGAAUGAAUUUCAAAGAGCUUCUCGACUGUGUCAAAGGUUGAAGCAAGAGAAGCGGCUCCUCAUUAUACUGGAUAAUAUUUGGACAAAACUUGAGUUGGAUGCGGUUGGAAUUCCUUCUGGAGAUGUGGAUGAGAAAGAUAGAGAGGACGAUCGGAGAAGACUCACAAUAAUAUUGACGUCUAGAAGUCGAGAUUUAUUGCGCAAUGAUAUGAAAUCUCAGAAGGAUUUCUCAAUUGAAGUUUUAUCAAAGGAAGAAGCAUUGCAAUUGUUUGGAAAGAUAGUGUGUAAUUCUGCAAAAGCAUCUGCUUUUCAACCUUUAGCAGAUGAGAUCGUUGAAAAAUGCGGAGGAUUGCCUGUUGCACUGAUUACCCUUGCAAAAGCUUUGAAAAAUGAGAGGCUUGACACUUGGAAGGAUGUGCUGCGUCAGCUAAGAAGUUCCAAUGCAAAAGAAAUUGAUGGAAUGGAAAGAAAUGUGUACAUCUCCAUAAAAUUGAGUUACGACUUACUGGGAAAUAAGGAAGCAAAAUCUCUGUUCCUUCUUUGUGGUCUAUAUACUGAAGGUGAUGUCAUACACGUUUCUGACUUAUUGAGAUAUGGUAUGGGUAUGGGCUAUUUUAAAAACGUUUACACACUGGAAGAAGCAAGGAGUAGAGUGCAUACGUUGAUCGGUAAACUCAAAUCUUCAUGCUUAUUGUUGGACGGUGAUGCCGAAGAUGAAGUUAAAAUGCAUGACAUCAUUCAUGCUGUUGCUGUAUCAAUUGCAGAAGAGGAGCUCAUGUUUAAUAUUCCAAAUGUUGCCUACGUGGAGAAAAAGAUGGAAGAGACAAUACGGGAAGGUCCAAUAGCUAUUUCUUUACCUUAUAGAGAUAUUCAAGAGCUUCCCGAAAGGUUGGAAUGUCCCCGUCUCGAGUUACUUUUGUUGUUUUCAAAGCGUGAUAGCUCUUUGCAAAUUUCAGACCUCUUUUUUCAAGGGACAGAAGAACUCAAAGUUUUAGAUUUUACUGGAAUAUUUUUCUCUUCAUUACCUUCAUCACUUGGUUGCCUCAUUAACGUUCAAACAUUAUGUUUAGAUGGUUGCCGACUGAACGAUGUAACUAUAAUUGGACAGCUAAGGAAAUUAGAGAUUCUCAGCUUCCGAGAUUCUGAUGUUAACGAGUUGCCACUUGUAAUUGGACAAUUGACGAGAUUACAGUUGCUAGAUUUGAGCAAUUGUAGCAGCCUUGUGGUGAUAGCUCCAAAUGUCAUAUCAAAAUUAUCUCGAUUAGAAGAACUAUAUAUUGGUAACAGCUUUUCACAGUGGGAGAACGUUGAAGGAGGAAGUAACGCCAGUCUUGUUGAGUUGAAGGGGUUGUCAAAGCUAACUACUUUGGAGAUACACGUUCGGGAUGCCGAAAUUCUACCGCAGGAUUUGGUCUCUGUGGAAUUGCAAAGCUAUAGGAUAUGUAUAGGAAAUAAGUGGUGGAGCAGCUGGUCCGUUAAAUCUGGAUUAUCAAGAUUGAUGAAGCUCCAGGGGCUAGAAAAGUUUGGCAUUCUUUUGCAGAAUUACAGGAUGAAACUGUUGUUGAAGAGAACUGAAUAUCUCUAUCUAGGAGAACUGAAGGGUGUUCAGAAUGUUGUUCAUGAAUUAGAUGAUGGGGAAGGUUUUCCACGAUUGAACCAUCUUUCUGUAAAAAGUUGUUCUGAGAUUUUGCAUAUUGUCUGUUCAGUUGGACGGGUUCGUCGCAAAGUCUUCCCCUUGCUGGAGUCAUUGUCUCUUCGUCGUUUGAUCAAUUUGGAGACAAUAUGUGACAGCCAACUCACAGAAGAUCAAUCUUUCAGCAACUUAAGGAUUAUAAAAGUAUCAGACUGUCACGAAUUGAAGCAUCUUUUCUCAUUCUACAUGGCCAAAAACCUACUGUGGCUUCAAAAGGUAGAAGUGUUUUUUUGCGAUGAUCUGGAAAUGAUUGUUGGUAAGUGUUGAAAUUAAGUGUUGGUGGAUUUAUGGACUUCGCCUCAAUUAUUUUGAAAAAAAAAAAAGACAACGACAAAGAUUAAUUAUGUAUAUUGUUUUAGUUUGUUUAUAGGACCCGACAUGGACAAACCAACAACUUCUUUGGGAUUCAACGAAAUCAUUGCUGAUGAUGAUCCUGCUCCAAAGGUGAUAAUUUUCUGUUCAAUAAUUAAUUGAUUAAUUUAUUAUCACGAUUAAUCUUCGAUCAUCAAAAGAAUAUUAUACUAGACGGUUGUACUUGAAGGAACAAAAAUGUACGGGUUUUCUUUGCAGGUUAUUCUUCCGAGCUUAGAGGAAUUGAAUCUCAUGUCAUUAAGAAACAUCAAAAAAUUAUGGGCCGAUCAUAAUCAAGGAAUGUACUGUUGUCAAAAUCUAACAAAGCUGCACGUGGUCGGUUGUCAUCGUAUGAAGUAUCUGUUUUCAUAUUCUAUGGUUAAUAGUCUUGCGAAACUCCAACAUCUUGAGAUAAGCUAUUGUGAGUCAAUGGAAGGGGUAGUCGACACCACGGGAUGGUCAGAAAGAGAUGAAGGAAAGUUGAUUGAAUUAAAGGUUUUUCCUAAGCUACACUCCCUGCAGCUAGAAUGGCUUCCAAGACUAAGUAGCUUUGCCAAUAUGGGACAUAUUCAUUCAGAUUUAGUUGUUGAAUUCCCUUCUUUGCUAAACCUCAUGAUUGGUUGUUGCAGUAAUAUGUUAAGAUUCAUCUCUACGAGCUCACCAGAAGACACCAUUCAUUCUGAAAUGCAACCUCCUCCUCUCUUUGAUGAAAAGGUUUUUUUUUUUUUUUUUAAUUAAAAAAAAUAAUUUUAGUCACAAUACUUGAUUUGUCUUUUCCUUGAGUCUUCAAAUUUAGUUAAUAUCCGCCUCUAAUUUAGUUAUCAAUUGAUUAUGCCAUUAAUUGAUUAACUAGUUAUUUAAUCUUUAACUGCCAGGUACGAGUUCCUAGGUUGGAGGUAUUAUAUAUUGCGUGGAUGGAUAACCUAAGAACAAUAUGGCACCACCAGCUUGCUUCGGAGUCUUUCAGGAAAUUGAAGAAUUUGGAGAUAGAAGAGUGUGAUAACCUAAUGAAUAUUUUUCCUCCAUUGGUAAGGUUGCUGUAUUCAUUUCGAUUUUUUUUUUCAAAUAACAUUCAACAAUUUUUUAAUCUUUUCUGUGUUUACAAAUGAUAUUCAGCCACUAAUUAUUUAUUUCAAAUAUUGUACUUCAAACCACCACUCUAAAAUCUACGUUUUAAGUCUAGUUUUUAGGUUCACCAGCAUUAGAAUCAACAAUAUAAUUUUUUUAAACACGAUUCAAUAGCAUAAUAUAAUUCAAUUUAAUUGUUUUUGCUCAUAUCUUAAUAAGUACGAUUUUCAAAAAUUAAAGGAUAGUCACUCAUCUUAUAAGUUCACAAAUUCAUCUAUAUAUUUCUCUUUUCCUUAGUUCUUCACAUUUCGAUUGGGAAAAAAAAAAAGAAAGUCUUCAAAUUUAAUUAAUAUCUCCAGUUUAGUUAAGAAUUGAUUAUGCCAUUACUUAACCACAAAUUCAUGAUUGUUUACAACUGACCCUUGAUUGUAAAGAAAUUUCCUCGAGUCUGGAAGUACUUAAUAAAGAUCCACUUUAUAGCAAUCCCUUGUUGACAGUACUGGGAAGUCUUUUCCAAAUUUUUUUUUUCCAUUUUUAUACAUACAUAAAAAAAAGGGGACCAAGGAAAAGGGAAAAAGAGGCAUUUUAGUUGAGUUUUUUUUAAAGGAAUAGUUGAAAUGUGCAAAUUUAUGCUUAAAAACUUAUAUCAAGAUGCAAAAUAAGUCUAAAGUAUUUAGAAAUUGCCUUAAAUUCUUUCUACGUCCCUAAUACUAAAUAGUGUAAAUACAUUUUUAUCAUCUUUGUUUAUCUGGCUUUUAUUUAUUUAUCUUGUUACCUUUUUUGUUUAACAAAAAAUUAUCUAGUAGACAUUUCACAGUUUGUUAUGUUCAUAAAACGUAUAAUUGUAUGAUUAAACAUACUUUGAGCCUAGUUGAAUGAUACUCUUACAUUUUUACUUUUUUAAUAUACACACACACACACACUCUCUCUGCUUAUUUUCAGGUUGGAAUUCCUACUAGUCUGGUGAAUCUUUAUGUAUGGAACUGCAAAAAAUUAGAAGAAAUCGUAGGACAUGCUGGAGAAGAAGUGAAGGAGAAUCGUAUUGCUUUCAGUGAAUUAAAACUUUUGGAACUUGAUGAUUUACCAAGGCUUACCAGCUUUUGUUUGGAGAAUUACACUCUUGAAUUCCCAUCAUUGGAACGAGUAUUUGUGACACAUUGUCCGAACAUGAAGACUUUUUCUCUGGGAAUCUUAUCCACACCAAAGCUGCACAAAGUGCAAGUGACUGUAAAGGAAGAUGGUGAAUUGCACCAUCGGGACGACAAUCUUAAUUCCACCAUACAAGAACACUAUACAAGAUCUCAUGGAAAUAAGUAAACCCGUAAUUUUUUUCACAGCAUCAUAAGAAAAAAUCAUUUUUUUUUUAGUAUUUUUGUUGGCUGUUGAGUUUUAACAGUAGUAGCUAUUAAACAAGAACAAUCAGUGUAUAUUAAAAAGUUGGAAACUGGUUGAUACCACUUGGGAAUCGAGCAGCUCACUUGUUUGCGAGUAGAAACCAACUUUACUACUAAUUACACUCAUUCCAAAAAUAGUAACUAAAGAAUCAGGAAAUUUCCUAUUCACUAUUCUUCAUUUUUUAAUGCAAAAUUCCCAUGAAAAUGGGAUCAAAAUACAUGUAUGUAUACCUAAAACAAAUUAUUAUUUUUAAUUAAAAAAAAACACAGUUGAGGUGAAAUGAAACCAGAGUCAUGAUAUCUCUGGUUCCAACUUUGGGACAACAGCAGACUUGAGUUCUAUAUGAGAAACACGUACAGCACCAAUCAGCCGCUCCAAGACACACGAAGCGUUAUGCCAUUCCGAGAACAUUCAAGCGUUAUAUCUCAAAAUCAUGUCUUUUCCCUUGUGUCUGUUAAGGAAGCACACUGAGCACGUGUGAACUAAGAGUAGCUGCACGAUAAGCAUGUGUUAGUUAAAGAAGUAUAUGCCAGCUCAGCCAAUUAGUUAAGCAGGCUUUUGAUUCUGUUAUAGUUGUGUACCUUGCUUUAAUUCUGUUUUUAUGAUGUAAGCAACGAGUAUAAACACUGCUACGUUUGUCAUUUGUAUGUUAUGGAAAGAAAAGAAAUCCAGAAUAUUCUAUUUCACUUUCUCAUGAAUUUUCUGAGCUUCCAAACAAAAUUAUCAGUUCAAUUUUAAGCUUUUCAACAGUGUCCAUUUAGACGUGCAAAAAAAACAAUCAUACAUACCUGUACAAGGAAAGCCAUGUCAACCACCGACCGAUGUUGUAAUUACACCAAUUACGACAAGGCCCAAAACUCCACUAGCAAAAGUAGAAUAACAUCUAUGCCAACAUCAAUCUAUAGAGAGAUGAACAUGUUAAUGGUAUCGGACGAGCUAUUUGAACGGGAAACAUCUCAUGUACUAUAAUAGAAAUUUUAAGAGCAUUUACUUCUAAGUACUGGGGACCGCGGAUAUAGUUACAACCAACUGCAUUUAGAAACAAAAAUUUGCGCUUGCGACAAGAGCUGAUCUCUUCAUUCCCCUGUUUAGUAAUAAAAAAAAAUCAAAAUAGCGGAGAAACAGGGCCCUCUUUUCAUUCCCCUGUUUGAUAACAAUAAAAACAAAACAGAGGAGAAACGUGGGCUCUCUUUUCAUUCCCCUGUUUUUCUUUUCGGUUUGGCGAUUUUAAAAUUUUAUAUCCACAUUCAUUAAAAAAAAAAAAAAAAGUUAUUCCAAAAAGAUUUUCUAUUUUCAUAUAGACGUUUAUUUAUUAACCAAAAUUUAAAAAGUGUAAUUCUAAACUUAUCCUUGUGCUUUGAUCUUGGAGGGGUUUUUCAUUUUUUCUACACUGGCCAUAUCAAUUAAUGAUGAAAGUUCUUAUCCUUAAUUGCUUUUGAAAUGAGUGAGCACGGUAUGACCCUUAAGAGAAUUAAUUAAUUGGACAAGUUAUAUAACGCCUUUGAUAUGGCUCCUAGACAUGUAUGCAAUUUGUAUCUUUCCUCAAGUAUGCAUGAGAAUACUUGAGGAAAGCUUCACAAUAGUUACGGCCGGAUCUGCACUUCACAAGUCCUAAUAGGGAAGUAUAAAUAUAUGCUUCUGGAACAGUGCAACUCUCCAUAAUAAGUACCUAAGAAUAGACAAAUUUUCAUUACAAUAGAAUGAUAAAUUAUAAUAAUAUUGACACAAUGAUGCCAAUAAUAAGAAUCUUAACAAAUCUACUAAUUUUAGAAUAUGGCUUAGAGUGCUACAAUGAACCACAACAAGUUAUCGAUAUUAUAAUAUCUAUAAUUAAUAUUCCAAUAAUAACUGGGGCUCCUUUGUUUUCAUUCCCCUACUUUUCUGUUAAGUGAUUGCCAAAUUUUUAUAUCUAAAAUUCUUCUAAUUUUAAACUAAGGUUUAUUUAGAAAAAAAAAGGGAGAGAGAGAGAGAGACUCGAAGAGCAUUAAAAAAUGUAAUUUUUAAUUUUCACUUAAGCAUUGUGUGACUUUUAUCAUUUUUUAAAGUUGGCCAUUUGUACUGAAUAAAUAAAAUAAUGGAUAGACUUAUGGACCACUUUUUUUCUGUUAUAUUAAAACAUGAGAUGUCUUUUCUUGAUGUUUUCAUCACACAAGAAUCUGUUUAUGUCAUCAUGCAUCAUGGGUUUAAAUGGGGUAAAUAAAUUAAGAUCGAGGGCAAGUUUGUUUAAGUUCUAAAGUUGCUGAAUAUAAAAAGGGCUGAUAUGAAAAUUACCUAAAGUUUCAAAUAUUGUUAUUCAGCAACCACUUUUAGGUUGCAUUAGUUUCUACACAAAUUUUAUAUAAAUAAUUUAUAACUCCCAUUAUUAUUUAAAAAACUGUAGCAAUUGUUGAAAAAAAAUUCUAAUUAAAGAAAUUGACAUUAUAAUUUAAGGGAUAGUUGCUGUUUUAAUCAUUAGAACUUAAGUCAAUUAUCCAGCUUAUCCUUGUAUUCUUAAAAACUAUAUAAAAUACCAUUAUCUCUUCUUUUGUAGCUAUUGAAUUCGACUUUCACAACAUAAAUAUUUAUUAGCAACAACUUAAAAUUCAAACAAAUAUAAUAUGUAAUGUAUGAAAUACAAAUAAUAGUUAAACAAAUUUUGAUUAUUUACUAUUAAAAUACAUUCACAUUAAUAUCUUAAGGAUAGGUGGUACUCAAAUAAUUUUUUAAAAAUCAGACCCAAAUUAUAUGCAUUGUUAAUAUGUAUUAUUGUCUAAUAUUUGGAUUUUGUUAAGUUACAACUGUUGUAACUUACGAUCUCUUCAAAAAAGAAAAUUGAGUCCCACCACCUAUUAAAUUUUUUACAUUAUUUUUUAAAAGACUGUAAGUUACAUCAGUUGUAACUUAACAGCACCCUUAAUAUUUUACUUUACUUUUAUAUCUUUACAAAACAAUACCAACAAGACAAUAAUGUAUGAAAUAAAUAAAAUAAAUAAAUAAAGAACUGAUAGCGAAAUUAAGUCUAUCAUUAGUUUCUUGUGGUGUGAACUCUUGACAAUUCUCCCACCUAAAACUCUCUAGUGGUGUGAACUUUUGACGAUUCUCCAAAAAUUUGUCAUAUUGCAAAAAGCAAUGUCAAUUGUAAUGUCAUUUCCAUUAGUCAUAGUGGCAGAUAGGACUAGAAAUUGUUGAAACCCAUUGACUUAUUUUUCUUUCUAAAAAUAAGAAAAGCACACCCGUCCGGGGAAAUAAUUUUGUAGUACCUCAUGUCGUGAAUAAGGGACAAUACGAUCCUUUUUUUAUUAUAGUAUUUUUAAAUUUAUUAACUAAAAAAUUAAUUCUAAUAUUUUAUAAUAAAUAUAAGUAGGAUAUUAAAAUGAAUAUAAUAAUGUAUACAUAUUAAAAUAAUUUCAAUAUCUAAAAAUAUUUUAAUAUUUUAAAAUCUCGUAGUCUAUUAAACCAAAUAAUAAUAAAUAGAGACAUAAUAUUCAAAUAAAUACAUAAAAAUUUAAAUUGUUUUCAAUAUCACAUAAAAUAAUUUUAAUAUUAUUAAUACAUGAGAAAUAUUAUAUUAAUUGUAAAAUCUAUUUAACCUAAGGAUUCAUUUAAAAUUUUUUGUAAUAAUUACAAGUAUUUUAUAGAUACAAAUAUAUUAAUUCACAUUUUAAAAAUUAAUAUUGAAAUUAAUUAUUUAAAUUUUAUAAAAAAUUUUGAAGUCUUUUUUUUUUUUUUGGCUACCAUCUACUAAGAGUAGUAUUAUGAUCAAAAGGGGUAUUGGUAUCCUAUAUUAAAAAUUUGAGGUCUACGUGACUAUUUUUCUAAAUUUUUAGGGUAUCAUUUUGUUUUUGACAAAAGUAAAAUUUCAUUUUUGACAAAAAUAAAAUUUCAUUUAAAUGGCUAAAAUGGUGAAUAAAAUAAUACUACAGUGGGCGUAAAUGGAAGGUAAGAAACAAUGAAAAUGAAUAGUCUAAUGUCACCACAGGCACAUAAGGCCAAAGUUUGUUACAUCUGAUCAAGGACAAUUUAGUAUGUGGAGUGGGUCCUGCGUGUCAUUUUUUGGGCAUCUACCUUCUUCAGCAUUGAAGAUUUGAUGUUGACGACAUUUUAAAAAUUUGGAAGACCCAUCAUACAUUUGGAUGGUUGUCAUUAUUUGAUAUUAUCAUUAUCUCGUGGUGAUCCUAUUAUUUAUGUGGCAAAAGAGGUAAUUAAAUAAAAUUUAAUUGGAUGUAACACUUGUUUCGCGUUGUGAACUUUUGACAAUUCCCCUAUAUCCCUCCAAAAACUUUCGUCAUUUUGCCAAGAUACCUAACGAUUGUAAUGUAAUUUUCAUUAUUCAUAGUGCCAGAUAAUGGAGGUCCAGGAACGGACCAGAAAUUAUUGCUACCCGUGGACUUUUCCAAUUUAUUUUUUUUCUUUUGGAUGGUUGACGUUAUUUGAUAGGAGGACGAGAUAGAGAUAGAGUUCUUAAUCGAACACCCGUUUUAUUUAAUGGGGAAAUUAUCAUUUCACCACUACUCUUUUGCCUUAUGCUCAUUCAAUUACUACAAAAUUUUAACAUGUUCUCUGCACUACUUUUCUUUUUUAAAUUUGUAUCAAUUACUCACUUUUAUACUAACACCAUUAAAUAAUUUAAACAAAAUAAUAAAUUUACCCCUAAAUAAAUUAAAAGACCAUUUUAUUUUAUAAAAACUUAAAAAAUAAAAAAUAAAAAUUAUAAUUAUAAUUAUAAAAAUACCCCUAAAUUUAAUAAAGAAAUAAAUCCCCAAAUUAGAAUUUUUAUUUUAAUAAAAAUUAUAAUUAUAAAAUAAUUGCAAAAUUUUGGGAUUUAAUAAACAUCCCCUAAAAUAUUAAAUUUUGGGAUUUAUUUUUAAUAAAUAAAUUUAGUUAUUUUAAUAAAAUUUUACAAAAUUAUAAAUUUGUAAUAAAAAUAAGCUGAGCGCCUCUAUUUUGGAUUAUUUUUUAUUAAAUUUAGGGGUAUUUUUGUAAUUCUAAUAUUUUUUUUCAAAGCUUUUAUAAGAUAAAAUGGCAUUUUAAUUUAUUUAGGAGUAAAAUUAUCAUUUCGUUUAAAUUAUUUAACAGUAUUAGUGUAAAAGUGGCUAAUCGAUUCAAAUUUAAAAAGAAAGAUAGUGCAGAAAACAUGUUGAAAUUUUGUGGUGGUUAAAUGAACAUAAGUCAAAAGAAAGAUGGUAGAAUGAUAAUUUCCCUAUUUAAUAUGGAAGAAGAUCUUUAAACUCUCAGUGAGGCUAUGGCUUCAACAGAUGCAGCCUUGUGGAAAGAGGCAACAAGUAAUGAGAUAGACUCAUUAUUAUCUAAUCAACUAGAUGCAUCAACAAGAUCUUAACUUAGAUUGGAACUUGAAGCAUUGUUGUUUGAAACAUUGGCUCAAGCCUUUAGAGCGAGGUUGGAUGCAAAAUGAUUUACAACAAAGAAAGGAAAAAAUAAAUUUACUAAUUUACAAAAUAAAUUUAGUAAAUUAAUAAAGUCAUUAUAUGAUCUUAAAUAAGCACUAAAGCAACAGCAUGAAAAUUUUGAUUCUAUGAUCAUGUUGCAUGGAUUUUAACAUAAUAACGAUGAUAAAUGCAUUUAUUCUAAAUUAAUGGAUAAAUAUGGUAUGAUAAUUUUCCUCAUUUGAGAAAGAAUUCUUAAAUAAUGUCCCAUAUUAAUUAGUAAAAGAGAGUCACUUGGGCUUAUAAGUAGUAGAGAUGGGCAAAAUUGGAUGCAGAUGAUAUUCGGGUUAAUAUGAUCAGAUUUUGGAUUGUUCGGAUUGAUAAAAAGUCAUAUGAAUGCAAUAUGAACUUGCAUCCAAUCCGAUUAUGUACGGAUCAUAUUCAAAUUGGAUGAAUAGUGCAGAUUAAUUUGGAUUCGGAUCAGAUCGAUAAUAUCAAACUGAAAUCGGAAUCAGAUGUGUUCGAAUAAAUCAGAUGAAUUUCAAUCACUUGCAAGUUGAAAUACAAAAUUGAAAAAUCAUAGAAAUUAAGAAAAAAAUGCAGCAAGCUAGCAAAUGGAAGAACAAAGGCAAAAAAUUAUAUUAUAAAUUAAUCGUAAAAAGGUGCUAUUAGCAAUUGUUGCACAAUGCGAAAAUGUCCUGGAACUCGCUGUGUAGACAUGCAAAAGUUCCGUAAGUGCAUUAACAAUUAUUUUCCAAAAAAAGGUUGUUGCGUCAAUAUUAAAGGAAUUGACAUCCAGGGACCCAGUUUAGUUGCUUAAUGAUUAAUUAAUUAAUCAAUUUAUAAUAUAUUAAUCUUUUAAGUUGAAUACUUAAAAUCUUAGACCCCAAACAAUAAAUCAUCUGAGUAAUAUAAAAGAGAAAUUAUCAUCCUAUUUUUUAUUUGACUUCUUGUAGCUUAUAAAAGAGAAAUUAUCAGUCAUUUACUCAAAGUUUAUUCAGUUAUUAAAAUUAAUAUAAAAUUUAAAUUUAUUUAAUUUUACACUCAAUGUAUGCAAUUUGUAUUAAACAUCCGUUAAAAACAUAAAGUUAUUCCAUCAAAGUGACAAAAUAGAAGCGAACACAAAAUUGUAUUGGUGAUUAUGUUUUAAGAGUAAUUUUAUCUUUUUAGUAAACAGUUAUCCACAUUGUAACAAUGGGUAUAAAAUUAAGUAUAUUUAAAUUUUUAUAACUUUUAGGAUAAUAAGAUAAUUUUUAGGUGGAUGACUGAAAAUUUUUCUUUUCAAAAUAUUUUGAAAACAAUACCAAAUGUACCAAAACAUUGUUUACUUACACUCUAUAUAUAUAUAUAUAUAUAUAUAUAUAUAUAUAUAUAUUUAAUUUCUUAACUCAUUCUUAUCCUUAUUCUUGCUAACAUAUCCACAAUCUGUCAAUGAAAUUUACUUUUAUAAAUUUGAAGAUUCUUUCAUGCAAUUUUGUACGAUAAUGAGUUCUCAUGUCUCUGUUAAAAAAGAAUUCGUAAAUAAUACAAAUGAAAAAAAAACAAAAAGUAGCAGGGCUGGCAAUACAAACCAUAACUUUUUUUCUUUGAAAUAUGCAUAAAUAAAGUUAAUAGUGAUGUGUCAGCACGAUCUUGAGAGCACGGCUUGGAGUCUCAAUAAUUAUUGACACUCAUAUUUGAAAACUUUUGAAAAGAUAAAAUCCAAUAUGAAAGGUGAAAUGUUAUAAUCAUAGUAACUAGAAAAUUGAUUGAUUUACAAAUAUCAAUUUAAACAAUUUUCAUGUUGAUCGACAAUUUAAGUAGAUUGACAAAGAUUGAAGUAAUUACUGUUGGUGAUUGAUUGACUUUGUCCUUAUCCUUGCCUUCUUCUUAUCAAAAAUCGAGUGUCAAUUAAAUUGGGCCAGGGCUUCUGAUUGCAACUAAUAGACUUCAUAUACGCAUAAUGCUCCCUACGGACAUACGUACCAGUAUUUGAUUGAAAAAGGGAUGCGUGCUUAAUGCUCAAGUCGUCUUCUUCUGGAAAUUCAUUGUUAUUACUCUCAUCAACUCGUUACUCACAUUCCUCUUUAGUCAACAGAGAUCUUUUGCUCAAUAAAAUUUUUCUUCUAUAUUCAAGGUGAAUACAGCAGCUCAUCAACUCUGAUCCCAGACAGGUAAAGAGGCGCACUUGUUCUAAAACCUUUAAUAUUCUUUUAGUAACAGAAUCUCUGAUACUUGUUCUUCAUAGCGGUUCUUUCUUAAUUUCCAUCACCUUUCCUAGGAAAAAAUUCUUUGGUUUUUCUUAAUCAUAUCAUUUAUUUUUCUGAAGUCAUAUAAUUUAGUUUUAGUAGCAGAAUACUUGAUAUUGAUAGCGGUUCUUUCUUAAUUUCCAUCAACUUUCCUUGAAGGAUACCUUUCUGUUAAUAGCAAAACAUCUGAUCCUUAAGAUAGAAAAAGAAAUUCUCUAUUUAGGUAUCAGUUGGUUCAAGAUCAAUAUCGCGAUGUUGUUUGCGGUCUUUUCUUUCUCCGUCUUUCCCUUUAGUUCAGUUUAAUUUAUUUGUUUUCCUUUCUUUGAUAUAUUAUUAGAUUUGUUAAGUAGCAGACAAUGGCAGAAGUUGGUCUGGCUGCUUUUUCCAGCAUUGUAUCAGAAGGUGCAAAGUCACUGUUCAAACCGAUUAUACGGCAGAUAUCUUAUGUGUUCAAGUACCAGAGCUACAUAGAUGAGCUAAAAGAUAAAGUGAAGCGGCUGGAACAUAAAAGAGAAAGGGUGGAAAUACCCGUUCAUCAGGCAACUCAACAAGGAGAUGAGAUUUAUAAGGAUGUUGCAGACUGGCUUAAUAGCGUCAAGGAAUUCACUCAGGGAGCUGCAAAAUCCAUCACUGAUGAUGAAGAUAGAGCUAAGAAGUUCUGUUUCAAAGGAUUGUGCCCAAACUUGAUCUCUCGUUACAAGCUCAGUAAACAAGCAGCAAAGGCUGCAGAAGCUGCCGCUAGUCUCGUGGGAAAAGGCAACUUCUCCAAUGUUUCCCACCGUCCUACUCCAAAGCUGGUAGAACAUAUGCAAGUGAAAGAUUUCGAGGCCUUUGACUCAAGAAUGAAAGUAUUUCAAGAUGUUUUGGAGGCGUUGAAGGAUGAUAAGCUCAAGAUAAUUGGGGUCUACGGGAUGGGCGGCGUGGGUAAAACCACGCUUGUCAAGCAAGUUGCGAAGCAAGUGAUGGAAGAUAAGUUGUUCGAUAAGGUCGCUAUGGCUGAGGUAACAGAGAACCCAGAUCAUCAGAAAAUUCAAGACAAACUAGCUUCUGAUUUAGGCAUAAAGUUUGAGUUGAAUGAGAGUAUAUUCGACAGAGCAAAUCGACUAUGUGGAGUAUUGAAGAACAAGGAGCGGCAUCUCAUUAUAUUGGAUAAUAUUUGGAGAGAACUGGAGUUCGAUAAAGUUGGAAUUCCUUCCAGGGAUGUCGAGAAAGAAAGAAUGGAUGAUCAGAGACGAUGCACAAUAAUACUGACGUCUAGACGUCAAGAUUUAUUGCGCAAUAUUAUGAAUUCUCAGAAAGAAAUCCAGAUCGAUGCUUUAUCAAAAGAAGAAGCAUUGCAUUUAUUUAAGAAGAUAGUGGGUGAUUCAAUGAAAACAUUUGCUUUUCAAUCUAUAGCAGAUGAGAUCGUUGAAAGAUGCGGAGGACUGCCUGUUGCACUGAUUACACUUGCAAAAGCUUUGAAAAAUGAGAGGCUUGACACUUGGAAAGAUGUGUUGAAUCAGCUAAGAAGUUCCAAUGCAAAAGAAAUUGAUGGAAUGGAAAUAAAUGUGUACAUCUCCAUAAAAUUGAGUUACGACUUAUUGGGAAGUAAGGAAGCAAAAUCUCUGUUCCUUCUUUGUGGUCUAUUUAGUGAAGGUCAUGCUAUACCAGUUUCUUCCUUAUUGAGAUAUGGUAUGGGUAUGGGCUAUUUUAAAAACGUUUACACACCGGAAGAAGCAAGAAGUAGAGUGCAUACGUUGAUCGGCAAACUCAAAUCUUCAUGCUUAUUGUUGGACGGUGAUACUGAAGCUAAAGUUAAAAUGCAUGACGUCAUUCAUGCUGUUGCUGUAUCAAUUGCAGAAGAGGAGCUCAUGUUUAAUAUUCCAAAUGUUGCCGACUUGGAGAAAAAGAUGGAAGAGACAGUACAGGAAGGUCCAAUUGCUAUUUCUUUACCUUAUAGAGGUAUUCAAGUGCUUCCUGAAAGGUUGCAAUGUCCCUGUCUUGAGCUAUUGCAUACGGAGGGUGAUGGCUCUAUGCAAGUUUCAGACCACCUUUUUAAAGGGACGGAAGGACUCAAAGUUUUGAAUUUUAAUCGAAUUCACUUCUCUUCAUUACCUUCAUCACUUGGUUGCCUCAUUAACCUUCAAACAUUGUGCUUAGACUAUUGCCGACUAAAAGAUAUAGCAAUAGUUGGACAGCUAAAGAAAUUAGAGAUUCUCAGCCUUGUAUAUUCCGAUAUCAAGCAGUUACCACUUGAAAUUGGACGAUUGACGCGGUUACAGUUGCUAGAUUUGAGCAAUUGUUGGAGCCUUGAGUUGAUACCACCAAAUGUCAUAUCAAAAUUAUCUCGAUUAGAAGAAUUGUUUAUGCAUAACAGCUUUUCACAGUGGGAUAAGGUAGAAGGAGGAAGUAAUGCCAGUCUUGUCGAGUUGAAGGGGUUGUCAAAGCUAACUACUUUGGAGAUACAUGUUUCGGAUUCCGAAAUUCUGCCGCUGGAUUUUGUCUCUGUGGAAUUGGAAAGAUAUAAGAUAUUUAUAGGACAAAUGUCUGUCCGGUGGCUCGUCGAAUCUAAAACAUCAACAUUGAUGGUGCUCAAGGGGCCAGAACAAGUUAGCCUUCUUUUGGGGAAUGAUGGGACGAAAAUGUUGCUGAAGAGAACUGAAGAUCUCCGUCUAUGCUCACAGAAGGGUGUUCAGAAUAUUGUUCAUGAAUUAGACGAUGGGGAAGGUUUUCCACGAUUGAAGCAUCUUCAUGUAAAAAGUUGUUCUGAGAUUUUACAUAUUGUCGGUUCAGUUGGACGGGUUCGUUGCGAAGUCUUUCCCUUGCUGGAGUCAUUGGAUCUUAUUAAUUUAACUAAUUUGGAGACGAUAUGCUACAGCCAACUCAGAGAAGAUCAAUCUUUCAGCAACUUAAGGAAAAUAAACGUAGAUUUCUGUCCAAAAUUGAAGUAUCUCUUCUCAUUCUCUAUGGCCAAAAACCUAUUGCGGCUUCAAAAAGUAAAAGUGGAAAACUGCGAUGAUUUGAAAAUGAUUAUUGGUAAGUGUUGAAAUUAAUUAUUGGUAGGAUUAUUGACAUUGACUCAUUCUUUUUUUCUUUUCUUUUUUUUUUUUUGGUGAAAAAAACAACGGAUGUUUAUUAUAUAUUGUUUUUGUUCAUUUAUAGGGCCCGACAUGGAGAAACCAACAACAACUCAGGGAUUCACAGAAAUCAUUGCAGAGGAUGAUCCUGUUCACCAAGUAAUAAUUUUCUGUUUAAUAAUUAAUUAAUUAAUAUAUUAUCACGAUUGAUCUUCAAUCAUCGAAAGAAUAUUAUAUUAGAAGUUGUAGUUGAAGGAACAAAAAUGUAUGGUUUUUCUUUGCAGGUUACUUUUCCACGCUUGGAGGAACUGAAACUUGUCAGUUUAACAAACAUCAAAAAAUUAUGGCCCGAUCAAUUUCAUGGAAUGUAUUGUUGUCAAAAUUUAACAGAAGUGACCGUGUUCGGUUGUGAUCGUCUGAAGUAUCUGUUUUCAUAUUCUAUGGUUAAUAGUCUUGGGCAACUCCAACAUCUUGAGAUACGAAAUUGCUGGUCAAUUGAAGGGGUAGUCAACACCACGGGGUUAGGAGGAAGAGAUGAAUUGAAGGUUUUUCCCAAACUACACUACCUGUCGCUCCAUUGGCUUCCAAAACUAAGUAGCUUUGCCUCACCAGAAGACGUCAUUCACACUGAAAUGCAACCUCAAUCCCUCUUUGAUGAAAAGGUUUUUUUUCAUUGAAUUUUUAAAUUCUCUUUUCGUUGAGUCUUCAAAUUUAAUUAAUAUCCAUCUCUAACUGCAUUGAAUUUUCAACUUCAGGUACGACUCCCAAGUCUGGAGGUAUUACAUAUUAAGAGGCUGGAUAAGUUGAGAAAAAUAUGGCACCACCAGCUUGCUUCGAAGUCAUUUAACAAAUUGAAAAAAUUUGAGAUAUCAGGGUGUCAUAAUCUACUGAAUAUUUUUCCUCCAUUGGUAAGAUUGCUAUAUUCAUUUUGAAUUUUUAUUUCAAAUAACAUUCAACAAUUAUUUUAAUCAUUUUUGUGUUUACAAAUAAUUUUCAUUCACAAAUUAUUUAUUGCAAGUAUUGUACUUCAAACUUCUGGAGGGAAAAAAAGUAGUGUACUUCAAAUCACCAUUCUGAACUCUGCAUUUUCAAUCUAAUUUAUAGGUUCACCUGCAUUAAAGUCAACAAUAUAAUUGUUUUAAACACGAUUCAACAGCAUAAUAUGAUUCAAUUUAAUUGUUUUUUUUCUUAAAUCCUAAUAAAUAAGAUUUCCAGAAAUUAAAAGAUACUUAGUUACUCAGCUUUUAAGUUCACAAAUUCAUAUAUAUUUCUCUUUUCCUUGGGUCUUUAGAUUUCGAUUUUAAAAAUAAAAUAAAGAAAAGUGUUCAAAUGUAGUUAAUAUCUCUAGUUUAGUUAUGAAUUGAUUACGCCAUUGAUUAAGCACAAAUUCAUGAUGGUCAUUUUGAAUCGACCGUUGAUUAAAAAAUUUCCUCAAAUAUUCACUCUAUAACAGUCCCAUGUUGAUGGCGUUGGGAAGUGUUUUCCAGAAAUGUUUUCCAUUUUUAAAAGCAUGAAUAUCGGGAAAAAAAAAAAUGGGAAAUACAGCGUUUUAGUUUAGUUAUUUUAAAAAUAGGCAUGUUUGAAAAUUAAAAAUUUUUAAAAACUAGCAUCAAGAUGAAAAAUGAAUUUAGAAUAUUUAAAAAUUACCUGAAAUUCUUUCUCUGUUCCUAAUACUAAAUAGUGUAAAUGCAUUUUCAUUAUCUUUGUUUUUCUGGUCUUCUAUUUAUUUAUUUUUGUUUUAAUUUUUUCCUUUUUUUCUUUAACAAAAAAUAUCUAGUAGACAUUCAUGGUUUGUUAUUUUUCAUAAAACAAUUGUAUGAUUUUGACAUACUUUGAAUCUAGUUGAAUGCUACUCUUUAUUUUCAGGUUGGAAUUCCCAAUAGUCUAGUGAAUCUUAAUGUAUCAUACUGUGAAAAAAUAGAAGAAAUCAUAGGACAUGUUGGAGAAGAAGCGAAGGAGAAUCGUAUUGCUUUCAACGAAUUAAAACAUUUGGAACUUGAUCAUUUACUAAGGCUUACCAGCUUUUGUUUGGAGAAUUACACUCUUGAAUUCCCAUCAUUGGAACGAGUAUCUGUGACACAUUGUCCGAACAUGAAGACUUUUUCUCAGGGAAUCGUAUCCACACCAAAGUUGCACGAAGUGCAGGUGAGUAAAAAGGAAGUAUUAAGUUUUAUAUGAAACUGUGAUGUUGUUUGGUUACUAAGAAAAUAGGAAGAAAGAAAACUUCUGUAAGCUGAGAAUUCUGUUAUUAUUGACCUAAUGAAUCUGGAAAUUACAAGCCUUUUUAUAUGUGCAUAGAAGAUUCUACACACAUUGCACACACGCACAGUUUAAUACUAACAACCUCUAUAACAACCUUUAGCUGACUCAGCUGCCAUGUCAGCAUACUCAUUAACUAACUAAUUCUAUUCUUAACAGGAAGAGGGUGAAUUGCGCCGUUGGGAAGGCAACCUUAAUUCCACUAUACAAAAGUGUUACGAAGAAAUGGUAUGUGUUAAAUCGAUUCGUCGAAAUUACUUAUGCAUCUCCCUUGCACUUGCACAUUUAAGUAUAUACACCUGCCUUGUAUAUAUAGUUUUAGAAGUUAAAACACAAAACAUGUAAGUUUAAUGUAUAUAUAUCUAAUGCCUUUCAAAAAGAAAAAAAAUUGUAUAUAUCCAGUGCAAUUGUUUUGGUUUGUGCAGAUUGGAUUUCGUGACAUAAUGCGUUUGCAACUUUCGCAUUUUCCACGUUUGCAAGAAAUAUGGCAUGGCCAAGCACUGCCUGUCAGCUUCUUCAACAAUUUAAGAGAGCUGGUGGUGGAUGACUGCACGAAUAUGUCGAGUGCUAUUCCUGCCAAUCUGCUACGGUGCUUGAACAAUUUGGAAUACCUGGCAGUGAGGAAUUGUGAUUCACUAGAAGAGGUGCUUCAUUUGGAAGAACUAAUUAAUGCUGAGGAAGAACAUUUUGGCCAACUGUUCCCUAAUCUUUACGAGCUAAAGCUCAUUGAUCUUCCAAAACUCAAAAGAUUCUGCAACUUCACUGGGAAUAUAAUUGAACUGCCUAAGUUGGACAAUCUAACUAUUGAGAAUUGCCCUAGUAUGGAAACACUGCCUGUCAGCUUCUUCAACAAUUUAAGAGACCUGGUGGUGGAUGACUGCACGAAUAUGUCGAGUGCUAUUCCUGCCAAUCUGCUACGGUGCUUGAACAAUUUGGCAUGGCUGAAAGUGAGGAAUUGUGAUUCACUAGAAGAGGUGCUUCAUUUGGAAGAGCUAAGUGCUAAGGAAGAACAUAUAGGCCCCAUGUUUCCUGAGCUUUCCCUGCUAGGGCUCAUUGAUCUUCCAAAACUCAAAAGAUUCUGCAACUUCACUGGGAAUAUAAUUGAAAUGCCUAAGUUGGAAUAUCUCAUUAUUGAGAAUUGCCCUGAUAUGGAAACAUUCAUAUCCAACUCUGUAGUGCACGUGACAACAGAUAACAAGGAACCUCAAAAAUUAACAUCAGAAGAGAACUUCUUGCUGGCUCAUCAAGUACAACCUCUCUUUGAUGAAAAGGUGAUUAUUAUUAUUAUUAUUAUUUUUCCCUUCACUUUCGUUUCAUAGAUGUAAUUUCAUUAGAAUCAAAUCAAAUUUAAUGACUCAUCUUUUUGCACGUCGUCUUAAUUUUUAUAUGAUUUAACAAUAUAACUGCAGUUAUUAACUAUCUUUAUAGUAUGAAUUAUAAAAAUGUCUGAAAUUAAUUGGAUGCCUGAUAACACGAGGUGAUCUAUUAAUUAUGUGUAUUACAUCUCUGUUUUCCUAGCUAAUUCAUAUUGGAUUUAGCAUCAGAUUUCAUUUAUGUGUUUCAAAGGGUAAUCGAUUUGAUACUUAUAUUUGGGAUCCUACUGCAAAGCAUACUAAUUUGGAAAUAAAAUAUAAAAUGCCGUGAUUAAUCUUGUCCAUAAAAUAUGCAGGGGAAGACUGCAGAGAUUGGAUACAUAUUUUCAUUUACAACUUAAUUUUGUUGAUUUUUAGGUUGCAUUCCCUCAAUUGAGUUGGUUAACGCUAUCUGGAUUACACAAAGUGCAGCAUCUCUGGAAGGAAAAUGACGAAUCCAACAAAGCGUUUGCAAACUUGGCAAGUCUAGAAAUAUCGGAAUGUAUUCAGUUGCAAAAAUUAGUACCACCUUCGUGGCAUUUGGAAAAUAUGUGGGGACUGGAAGUAUCGAAGUGUCACGGGUUGAUAAAUGUGUUGACGCUCUCAGCAUCUAAAAAUCUAGUGAACCUUGAAAGAAUGAAGAUAGCUGAUUGCAAAAGGAUAGAAGAAAUCAUACAGUCGCCGGUUGCAGAAGAAGCGAAAGAUUGCACUGUUUUCAAGAAAUUGAAGUACUUGACACUUGAUUGUUUGCCAAGCCUAACAAGCUUUUGUUUAGGUAAUUACGCUCUUGAAUUCCCGUCCUUGAAACAAGUAGUUGUGAGACAGUGUCCAAAAAUGAAGAUCUUCUCUCAAGGAGUCUUAGACACACCAAUGCUAAACAAAGUGAACGUCACCGAAGAAGAAAAAGAUGAUGAUGAUGAAGGAUGUUGGGAAGGCAACCUCAAUGACACCAUAAAAAAAUUGUUCAAUGAAAUGGUGAGUAUCAAUUAAGUUUUGAUGCUAUUUAGCAAAUUAUUUUAUAGAAACUAAUGUGAUAUAAUAUGAUUGGUUGACUGAAAAUAUAUAAUAAUAAUAAUAAUAAUAAAUAAAUAAAUAAAUAAAUUAUGAGGACCAUGUAAUGUUUUUGUUUAAUCAAUCAUAUUAUGUCGCAUUAGUUUAUACAAUAUUAUUUGUGCACAAGAGGUGGUGGUCAUAUCAUUACUCUAGCUUUAUUAUUCUUAUGGUGGCAAUGUAUGCUUGCUUACACGAGUAAUUACAAAAUCUGCAGAAUUCUAAAGAAGAGAUUGAGCCAACCCUUCAGGUACAGUGAAGAAGCUAUCCCGAACCAGGCCAAUCUCUUAUACAUGAUUCAGCUUGCUCGUUCUUCUGUACUUGAAUAAUUUGGUUCUAUAUAUUUACAAUUUUUCGCUCAUGCUACAGACUUGCAAGACACUUUGGAUUUUGUUUGAUGCAUUCUCCGUUUAAGAAAGGACUUGAAUUGAUGUUUCAUGUUUCAUGCAAUAUUCAAUUAGAUUCUGCCUAAAUUUCUGUAUUAUUCGUUCAAUUGGUCUUUUAAGCAUUUGAUUUCUAACCUCUCCUAAUGGAAGAUCAUUAUCUGAAGAAAACAGCAUAACAUUUGUGGCAUUAUCAGAAUAAGAAUAUUUUUGAGUAUAGUAAAAUUAUCUCCACCACUGUUAAAAAGAAUUAAUCAGUCAAACUGACCUCACACCAGCACGCUUUAAAUUAAAAGAAUUUCGUGAAGUCGAGACCAUGUUAUAGAUCUCAUGGAAAGAAGUAAACCCGUAAUUUUUUUCACAGCAUCAUAAGAAAAAUCAUUUUUUUUAAGUAUUUUUGCUAGCUGUUGAGUUUUAAUAGUAGUAGCUAUUAAACAAUAACAAUUAGUGUAUAUUAAAAAGUUGGAAACUGGUUGAUACCACUCGGGAAUCGAGCAGUUCACUUGUUUGCGAGUAGAAACCUACUUUACUACUAAUUACACUCAUACCAAAAAUAGUAACUAAAGAAUCAGGAAAUUUCCUAUUCACUAUUCUUCAUUUUUUAAUGCAAAAUUCCCAUUCGAAAACACCAAUGACUUUCAUUCAAAGUAAAUGAGAAAUUACAAUGAAAAUAGAAUCAAAAUACAUGUAUGUAUACCUAAAACAAAUGAUUUUUUUAAUUAAAAAAAAAACACAGUUGAGGUGAAAUGAAACCAGAGUCAUGAUAUCUCUGGUUCCAGCUUUGGGACAACAGCAGACUUGAGUUCUCUAUGAGAAACACGUACAACACCAAUCAGCCGCUCCGGUAAUUCAUCUGUAGUAUUUGCCUGCAUACAGAAGAGCAAGAUAAAGAAGACACACACAGAAGCAUUAUAUCAUUCUGAGAACAUUCAAGUAUGCAAAAAUGCAAGUUGCAGUGCAAUAUCUCAAAAUCAUGUCUUUUCCCUUGUGUCCAUUUAGCAGUGGGGGAAAAAAACAAUCAUACAUACCUGUACAAGGAAAGCCAUGUCAACCACCAAUGUCGUAAUUACACCAAUUACAAGGCCCAAAACUCCAUUAGCAACAGUAGAAGAAUCGAUGUCAACAUCAAUCUACAGAAAGAUGAACAAUGUUAAACCAUGUUAAAGGUAUUGGACGCUAUUUGAAAGGGGAACAUCUCAUGUACUAUAGAAAUUCCAAGAGCAUUUACUUCUAAGUACUUGGGACCGCGAAUAUAGUUACAAUCAACUGCCUUCCCCAAUAAACAAGGGGUGCUUCCAACACUCUGGCGCACUAUCCAUGACCCCUGCAUGAUUCAGUGCUGAAAAUCAAGAACAAGUGCAAAACAAAUUCAAGAGGGUAAAAAGGAGAUAAAGUUUGAAGGUACAACCCAUCAAUACAUUCACACCUAAAUGCAUGCCUUCUUUGUACAAAUUGAAGUGUACCAUGCAGUAAAGGGUAAGUAUACGUUAAUAUAGUCCUACUACAUGAAGGCCAAGAUGGAUACCUUAGGAACAGAUGGAAUAAGUUUCAACCUACUAUUGCGAAAUUCAUCAUCGCCAUCAACAAACCGUUGCAAAAGUGAUCCCGUAACCAAUUGCCUUGUGACAAAAUAAAAUACCAUACUAUAAUGUGUUGAACCAGGAACCUGCAGAUGCUUAGGUUACAACUAUACAACCUCCCAAUACAAUAAGUUUGAAACUUAUACCUUCUGAAAUGAAACAAACUUUCUUGAAGAUUAAAGAUCAGUGAGAAAAGCCCUUUUUCAGAAGCAACCUACAUAUUUUAGAAUAGGGCUCAGUGCGUUAUAGAUUCAAUGAACCAUGAGAAGUUAUUUACAUUGUUGUAUCUCACAGGCAGUCUUUUCUCCUAAUGUAUCAAGGGAAAAUGCUAGUGAAUUGAAUGAAGCUAGAGCAGAGCAUGAUGUUGCUGUGUAGCUGACUUUAGCAGAUCAACUCACUAAGCUAACCUGGCAAAGUUAUUUAGCUGGUUGAGCUGAUGUGUCAAAUUAGUUAUGCAGCAAAUGGUUAUGUGAUGUAACAAACUCGUGUGUGUGUUGAGCAAAUUGUAGCUUAAUAUAAAUAUCAGUCUGUAUUCAUUCAGUUGUAAUGCUAAAGUAAUAAAGGUUCUACAAACUUCUUUACAGAGCUUUCUUUUAUUUUCUUCAUUUUCUAGCUUGCCAAACAAUGCAAAACUAAGUUUCUUUCAUGGUAUUAGAGCCAUAAAUGGCGAAUACAGUUCAAAAUAACAACUCUUUUAGUUUUGUUACGCCUGUAAAGCUAGACCAAAACAACUUCAUUUUAUGGCGGGCACAAAUUUUAGCAUCGAUCAAAGGAAACGGUCUGGAAGGGUUUAUCAAUGGUGAUCAAGAAUGUCCUGAGCAGUUUCUUUCUUCUGGAAACAACAAUGGAGCUGAAAUUUUUACUGAAUCUGAAUCCAAAUCUAUUAAUCCAGAGUUCAUAGCUUGGAUGAAGACUGAUCAACUUCUGUUGAGUUAGAUGAUGUCGUCGAUACAGCAAAAUCUACUUGCUACUGUGAUUGACUCCACAACUUCAAAACAGCUUUGGAAGACUCUUACUAGUAUGUUUAUUUCUUAAUCACAAGCUAGAAUUCAAACACUUAGAAUGCAGAUUCAAACUAUUAAGAAAGGUGCAAUGCAUAUGUCUGAUUACUUUGCAAAAGUAAAACGUAUAGCUGAUACUUUAGCUCUAGCUGGAAAACCUGUUGAGUUAAGUGAUCUUGUGAUGCAUGUAUUAACUGGUCUUGAUUCAUCAGAUUAUGAAUCUUUAGUCACAGGUGUUUUAGCUCGAGGUGAGAAGAUAACAUUAGAUGAACUAUAUCCUUUGCUAUUGAAUCAUGAAAAUAGAGUUGAACAAAAGAAAGGAAAAAUUGCUGGUGAUGUGAUGCACAAUAUGACAGCAAAUAUUGCUCAAAAGAACUCAUAUGCUGGAAAGAAUAAUGGCAAUUUUCAAAAAAAUUAUGGAAAUAAUUCUAGGUAUGGAGGUUUUAAUGGAUAUGGAUAGGGUCAGUUUAAUAAUGGUGGUAAUUCCUCUGAAAUUGUUUGUCAAAUCUGCUUCAUACCUGGUCAUGCAGCCAAUAGAUGCAAAAAUAGGUACAAUUCAUCUUUUGUUCCACAGAGAAACUAUGGCAGAGGUAAUAUGAAUGGUGGCAGAGGUUUUAAUCAAGGGCAAUAUGGUAGAGGAAGAGCUUUUAAUAGUAAUGGUGGCAGAGGUUUUGGAGGUUUUGGUUUAAAUGCUGGUUUUGGCUAUGCACCCAGGGGUUUUGGCUAUCAAGGAAAUAUGGUGUAUCCAGAUAGUAAUCCUUCUGCUUAUUACUCAUUCACCCCUGGACCAUCUACUUUUGUUUCUGGUCAAGGAAAUAAUAAUCCUGGACAGUCAAGUGCUUCAUCUUCCUCAGCUAUGCCUUCUUCACUUCCACCAGAACACAUUGAAGAUCCUUCAUGGUAUAUUGAUAGUGGAGCAACAAAUCACAUUACAAAUGAUCUAGGUAAACUUCUGGAUUCACAAAUUUAUACUAGUACUGAAAAAUUAUUUGUUGGAGAUGGAAAUGCAUUAGCUAUUACACAUGUAGGAUCAGUUGUGCUAAAUACUUCAACUUCUAAACCUUUAAAAACCAUGUUCUUCAUGUCCCUUUUAUUACUAAGAAUUUGCUUAGCAUUUCAAAAUUAUUGGCUGACAAUCCAGUUACUGUUGGAAUUUCUUGGUGAUUUGUUUUUUAUAAAGGCUAGGAACACAAGGAAAAUUUUACUUGAAGGUGUUGCUAAAGGUGACUUGUAUAGAGUCUCUUCACAUGUUGCUGCUCAUUCAGUCUUUCUCAAUUCAGUUGGUCAAAAUAAAAUUCACUCUCUUUGCUUGUUCUCCUGUUUUCAAUUCUGAUCAGCUCACUGCUGUUAGUUCUUAUGAAUUGAAUAAAAAGCCAUGUCUGUCAGUUGUUACAAAGAGUUCUAUUGAUGUAAAUCUUCUUCAUAGAAGAUUAGGACACCCAGCAUCUUAUACUCUCAAAACUAUACUCAAAACUUGUAACAACUCUACUGCUUAUAAUAAAAUUGAAAGCUUGAAAUUUUGUUCAGCAUGUCAAUAUGGGAAAAAUCAUAUGCUGCAUUUUGAUUCAGUUGAAACAAAAACUUCAGCACCCUUACAAGUGAUAUAUGCAGAUCUUUGGGGUCCUUCUCAUGUCUGUUCUACCCAAGGAUAUAAUUACUACUUAUCAAUCUUAGAUGAUUAUAGUAGAUUUACCUGGAUAUUUCCAUUGUCAGCCAAAUCUGAUGCUCUUGAAGUGUUUACCAAUUUCAAAAUUUUUAUUGAAAAGCAUCUUCAACUUCAAAUCAAAACUGUCCAAACUGAUUGGGGAGAAGAGUUCAGAACAUUUUCCUCAUUACUCACUGCUUCUGGUAUCCAUUUUAGACACCCUUGCCCACAUAUUCAUCAUCAAAAUGGAAGAAUUGAGAGGAAACAUAGACACAUAGUUGAUGUAGGUCUGACCUUAUUAGCUCAAGCACAUUUACCACUCAAAUUUUGGUGGAAUGCAUUCCACACAGCUGUCUAUUUGAUAAACAGACUUCCAACUCCAAUUCUAAACAACAUUUCUCCUUUCCAAAAGUUAUUUCAUCAUCAACCAGAUUAUUCAACACUUAAAACCUUCGGUUGUGCUUGUUAUCCAACACUCAGACCAUACAAUAGACAUAAGUUUGAUUUCAGAACUGCCAGAUGUAUAUUCAUUGGCUACAAUUCACAACACAAGGGAUAUCAGUGUCUUCACUCUUCUAAGAGGGUUUACAUUUCAAAUCAUGUCACCUUUGAUGAAAAUUCUUUUCCUUAUGAGUCUGGAGCAGAUUUUUCUUCACUCUCUUCAAGUUGUCAGUCAACAAAAAAUUAUAAGUCUUCUUUCAAUUCCUCUGUUCCUUCUAUUACUCAGUUACAAGCACCUUUAGCAGCAUCAUCAGAACACCAUCAAAAUGUUCAUCAUUCAGAUGCUCCUACUCCCUCACCAAAUUCUACUCCACUUUAUUUUUCUGAUAAUUCCAACUCAGCUUCUUCUUCUUCACCACCACAUAAUUCACCUCCACAUACAUUGCCACAACCUGCAUCAACUGGUCAUCCAAUGAUAACCAGGUCAAAAGCAGGUAUUUUCAACCCAAAAAUUUAUUUGUCAGCUUUAUUAGCCCAGAAAUCAGAACCAACUUCUGUUUCCCAAGCACUUUCUGAUCCUAUGUGGUAUAAGGCUAUGCAAGAAGAGUAUCUAGCACUUAAAACUAAUCACACCUAGGAUUUAGUUUUACAUGCUACUCCAGUGAAGAUAGUUGGCAGCAAAUGGGUGUUUUGAAUAAAGUAUAACUCAGAUGGUUCAGUUUCAAGAUAUAAAGUCAGGCUUGUUGCAAAGGGGUUUCAUCAGACACAUGGGAUUGACCAUACAGAAACUUUUAGUCCAGUGGUUAAAGCUUCAACUGUUAGAGUUAUUCUUAGCUUAGCAGUAUUGAAUCAAUGGGUGAUUAGGCAAGUAGAUGUUAAUAAUGCCUUUCUAAAUGGCAUUUUAAUUGAAGAGGUGUACAUGGCUCAACCUGAAGGUUUUGUUGACUCAACUAAACCUAAUCAUAUCUGCAAGCUGAAUAAAGCUUUGUAUGGCUUAAAACAGGCACCUAGAGCCUGGUUUGAUAGAUUCAAGGAUGCAAUGAUCUCUAAACGGCAUUUCCAGCAUUCAAGGUCUGAUAACUCUCUGUUUCAUGCCUGGAACAGUGGUCAUCUAACUCUUGUUUCGGUCUAUGUUGAUGAUAUUAUCAUCACUAGUUCCAGUCCAACACUAAUUCAGCAAGUUAUUAAGAUUAUGAAUUUGCUUUAAAAGACAUGGGGGAACUUAGCUAUUUUCUGGGGAUUGAAGUCAGCAAGUCUUCACAAGGGGUUUCCUUGACACAAGCAAAGUAUAUUACUGACAUUCUGGAUAAACAUGGCAUGACAGAUUGCAGUCCUGUGCCUACUCCAAUGUCUACUGGUUAUUAUCUCACAAAAGAAUCAGGAGAGCUAAUUGAUAAUGUUUCUCAAUAUAGGAGUGUUAUAGGAGCUCUUCAAUAUGUUACUCUUACCAGACCUGACAUUGCUUUCUCUGUAAACAACCUAAGUCAAUUCCUUUCAAGUCCUAGAACACAACAUUGGGAAACAUGCAAAAGGUUAUUGAGGUACUUAAAAGGCACUAUACAUCUUGGGCUGCAAUUUAAUAACAAAGGAGCUUUGCAACUACAUUGUUUUUCAAAUUCUGACUGGGCUUGUGAUCGUGAUGAUAAGAAGUCAGUGGCUGGCUUUGCUGUUUACCUAGGCCCUAAUCUAGUCUCAUGGUCAUCAAAGAAACAAGCUGUUGUUUCCAGGUCCAGCACAGAGGCUGAGUAUAGAUCUCUUGCUCAUGCUGAUUCAGAGGUUCCCUGGUUACAAUCUUUACUUGGUGAACUUAACAUCAAAUUGAGCUCUACUCCUAUGAUGUGGUGUGAUAAUCAAGAAGCAAUUGCUUUAGCUUACAAUCCAGUCUAUCAUGCUAAAACUAAGCAUGUCGAAUUGGAUAUACAUUUUAUCCGAGAUAAAGUUACUGCUAAAGAGAUUGAAGUAUGUUUUGUGCCCAGUCAAGAUCAAACAGCAGAUGUGUUGACUAAGGCUUACUUUCAAACAGUUUAGUUACUUAAGAAGCAAGCUGAAUGUUCAUCCUAAACAUUUCAGCUUGAGGGGGGAUGUUAGUGAAUUGAAUGAAGUUGGAGCAGAGCAUGAUGUUGCUGUGUAGCUGACUGUAGCAGAUCAACUCACUAGGCUGACCUGGCAAAGUUAGUUAGCUGGUUGAGCUGAUGUGUCAAAUUAGUUAUGCAGCAAAUGGUUAUGUGAUGUAACAAACUUGUGUGUGUGUUGAGCAAAUUGUAGCUUAAUAGAAAUAUCAGUCUGUAUUCAUUCAGUUGUAAUGCUAGAGUAAUAAAGGUUCUACAAACUUCUUUACAGCGCUUUCUUUUAUUUUCUUUCAUUUUCUAGCUUGCCAAACAAUACAAAACUAAGUUUCUUUCAGAAAAGGAAAAAUAAAAAGAAAAGAAUAGUUACUGUUGAAAAUAAAGAUUCAAAGUUAUGAUUUCUUUGUAAUCUAGGCUAUUUUAGGAAUAAGUUAAAUUAUAAUGGGAAGAUUCAUUAGGAUUUUUUCCAGAUUUUGUUUCCUAUUAUUUAGGAAAGGAUAGAUGUAGUCUCCUAUUUUCUCUCCUAUUUUGCUGUAUAUAUUCCCUGUACAUACUGUUCUGGAAAGUAAGAAAAAGAGGAACCAAUUCACAUUUUUCUUCAUGGUAUCAGAGCCUGGCUCUAAACCCUAGUUCUCCUAUCAGCCGCCAUUUCCUUCUUCUCUCAUAAAUUGAACAAUCUACCUUCCUUCCUCUCCCAUCAAUUGUAUUCUCUGUGGCAAAAUACGGGAUGGCUUCCUCAUCAACCUCUGUUACAGUAUCACAGUCUAAAGGAAACGUGGAGACUGCAACUCAUGGUGGAAUUGAUUCUUCACCGAUCUUAAUUACCAGUCAUAAAUUGAACGGCCACAAUUAUCUCCAGUGGUCACAAUCUGUCAUGAUGUUCAUCUGUGGCAAGGGUAAGGAUGAUUAUCUCACGGGUGAGGCGGCCAUGCCAAAGGUAUCAGACCCUAGUUUCAAAAGGUGGAAGUCAGAGAACAACAUGAUCAUGUCAUGGCUUAUCAAUUCCAUGAACAAUGAUAUUGGUGAGAAUUUUCUUCUGUUUGGGACUGCAAAGGACAUAUGGGAUGCUGCAAAGGAAACCUAUUCUAGCUCUGAGAACACAUCAGAGUUAUUCCAGAUUGAAACCAUCCUCCAUGACUUCCGCCAAGGAGAACAAUCUGUCACUCAGUACUUUAAUACUCUGACUAGGCAUUGGCAACACCUUGAUCUAUUUGAAACAUACCCUUGGAAGUGCACCGACGAUACAACCUUGUACAAGAAGAUUGUGGAACAGAAGAGAACGUUUAAAUUUCUCCUCGGACUCAAUAAAGAUCUUGAUCAGGUUAGGAGCCGUGUACUCGGGACAAAGCCUCUACCACGCCCUCGUGAAGCCUUUUCUGAAGUUAGGCAUGAAGAAAGUAGGAAAAAGGUGAUGAUGGGGUCAUCAGAACCAACACUGGACGCCUCUGCACUUGCUGCCCGUGCAUCCAACUCUGUAGGGGUUAGUGAAAAUCGUACAAAGAAAGAAAGACCAUGGUGCGAUCACUGUCGUAAGGCAGGCCACUAUAAGGAGAGUUGCUGGAAAAUUUAUGGCAAGCCUGCUGAUUGGAAACCUCGUUCCAAAGGUGACCGUGAAUCUCGUGCUCAUGCAGCAUCCACCACGGACAAUCAGGCCCUACCCGAGCCAAAUCCAUUCAGCAAGGAGCAAAUGGAGAUUCUUCAAAAGCUUUUCGAUCAAGCCACUUUGAACUCCAAUGCAGGGACAAGUCUAGUGGCUCAGAAAGAGACUCAUUCAGCAUUUGCAGCCACUAAUGGAGCAAGCAAACCUUGGAUAAUUGACACUGGUGCUUCUGAUCACAUGACUGGAGAUGCCUCAAUGUUGCAGGAUUAUAAAGCUAGCAUCAACAGCACUUCAGUCUGGAUCGCAGAUGGCUCUCACACAAAAAUAGCAGGGACAGGUUCCAUCAGACUCACUAAGGAGUUACACCUUAAUUCUGUACUUUAUGUGCCUAAUUUGGCUUGCAAUUUACUUUCAAUCAGUAAAUUCACUCGUGAUCAGAAUUGUGUAACUAAAUUCUAUCCAAAUAUGUGCGUUUUUCAGGACUUGGAUUCGCGAAGACGAUUGGCAGUGCUGAGCUAUGUUCUGGACUCUAUCUACUCAAAAGCGAUCAAUCCUCCUUCAUACAAGAUUCGAGAGCAAACUGUGCCAAGUCCAAUAGUCUGUCAACUAGUUAUCCUCAUUCUAUUGUUAGUCCAAAUGUCAAUAACGAUAGUGAAAUUGUUCUGUUACACUAUCGAUUAGGUCAUUCUAGUUUCAUGUAUCUCGCAAAAAUUUUUCCCAAUCUAUUCAUCAAUAAAAACCCUUUAUCAUUUCAUUGUGAAAUUUGUCAAUUUGCAAAACAUACUCGAAAUGUUUAUUCAAGUGUUAAGUAUAAGCCUUCUCGUCCAUUUGCUUUAAUUCACAGUGAUGUGUGGGGUCCCUCAAGAAUUAAAAAUGUUUCUGGGGCUCGCUGGUUUUUGUCAUUUGUGGAUGAUCAUACUCGUCUCACUUGGGUGUUUCUCAUGAAAAACAAAUCCGAAGUUAGUCAAAUCUUCCAAAACUUUAACGCCAUGAUUCAAACCCAAUUCAAUACCAAAAUCCAAGUCCUUAAAACCGACAAUGCCAAGGAAUAUUUCAAAGACUCCCUCAGCUCAUAUCUUCUCCAUCAAGGCAUUCUUCACAUCAGUUCUUGUGUUGACACCCCGCAACAAAAUGGGGUCGCUGAACGCAAAAACAGACACCUUCUUGAAGUGGCUCGCUGUCUUUUGUUCUCAUCUCAUGUUCCUAAUUUUUUCUGGGGUGAAGCUGUUCUCACUGCAGCCUACUUAAUCAACCGAAUGCCUUCUAGAGUCUUGGGGUUUCAUUGCCCAAGAAAAGUUCUUCUCAAUUUCUUUCCACACACUAGGAUUGUUUCAGCAGAUUUACCACAAAAAAUAUUCGGUUGCACAGCAUAUGUCCAUGUUCACUCUCAACACAGGACUAAACUUGAUCCCCGAUCUCUCAAGUGUAUAUUUUUAGGCUAUUCUCCACAUAAAAAAGGAUACAAAUGCUAUUCUCCUCAUACCAGAAAAAUAUACAUUUCCAGAGAUGUAACAUUUGUUGAAAACCUGCCUUUAUAUUCCAAAACUGUUGUUCAGGGAGAGAGUAUGAGCGAACAUCAGCCUUGGGAAUCUUCUUGGCAAUCUUGGCUGGAAACCCCUCAUGAAAACCCUCAUAACUCAACCACCACACAUGAUCAAUCUAUCCAACAGCCACAAUCAGCAAUCCUCCCAACAUCUUCACAACCUUUUGAGUCAUCUGAGUCCUCCCAACCACAAUCAGCCGAGUCACCCCGUCAUCCAUCAGCCCAUCAACUACAGCCUCUAAUCUCACCUCUUCCACAGCUUGCUGUUGAUAAUCUUAAUGUUUAUAGGAGGAGAAGAACUGGAGAGCAGAUAGAGCACAGAACUCAGCCACAUGUCCAAGAAACUGAACCAAAUCCAAGCUCUUAUGAAGACAACACAGGUAUGGAUAGUCUUGCCUCGGUUGAGUUCAUGGUUCCAAGUGUGGAUGAUUCUAAUAAAUCAAUUGCAGAAAGAAAGGGGGUUCAAAGUUGUACCACUCAUCCAAUUGCCAAAUAUGUCUCAUAUGAUGGUUUGUCCCCAUCAUACCGAGCCUUUGUUUCUUCUUUAGAUAAUCUACAUGUUCCCAACAAUAUACAAGAGGCUCUCGGUCAUCCUGAGUGGAAGAGAGCUGUUCAUGAAGAAAUAAAUGCUCUUGAGAAAAAUGAUACAUGGGUUAUAACAGAUCUUCCUGCAGGGAAACGACCAGUUGGAUGUAAGUGGAUUUUUACUGUUAAAUACAAGGCAGAUGGAAGUGUUGAGAGCCUCAAAGCUCGUCUUGUAGCUAAAGGGUUCACACAGUCAUAUGGGAUUGAUUAUCUUGAAACCUUUGCUCCGGUUGCGAAGCUCAACACCAUUAGAAUCUUGCUCUCCUUAGCAGUAAAUCUAGAUUGGUACUUAUACCAACUAGAUAUAAAAAAUGCGUUUCUCAAUGGCGAUCUUGAAGAAGAAGUGUUUAUGGAAGUUCCCCAGGGUCUUGAUCUGAAUCUUACUAGAAAUAAAGUGUGCAAGCUCAAGAAAUCUUUGUAUGGGCUUAAACAAUCCCCUCGAGCAUGGUUUGAUAGAUUUGCGAAGGCAGUUGUGAGACUUGGUUACACUCAGUGUCAGGCAGAUCACACUUUAUUCCUCCGAACAUCACAAGCAAAGAAGAUCUCUCUCCUAAUCGUAUAUGUUGAUGACAUCAUUCUCUCAGGAAAUGAUGAGGAAGAACUGCAGAAGUUGAAGAAACAGCUAGCUCAGGAAUUCGAAGUUAAAGAUCUAGGGAAUCUGAAAUAUUUUCUUGGGAUGGAGGUGGCAAGAUCUAGGAAGGGAAUUGUUGUCUCCCAAAGGAAAUACACCCUGGACUUACUAAAGGAGACUGGUAUGAUUGGGUGCAAACCAGUAGAUACUCCUAUGGAUCCCUACAAGAAACUAGGCUCAGUUGAGAAUAGUGUUCCAGUCAAUAGAGGGAGAUAUCAAAGACUGGUUGGUCGUUUAAUUUAUCUCUCACAUACCCGUCCGGACAUAGGCUUUGUUGUUAGUGUUGUGAGCCAAUUCAUGCACAAUCCUACAGAGGAACACAUGGAUGCAGUCUUUAGAAUUUUGAAGUAUCUAAAGAUGACACCUGGAAAAGGAUUGUUUUUCAAGAAAUCAGAAUAUAGGAAUAUUGAGAUCUACUCUGAUGCAGACUGGGCUGGAGACAUCACAAAUAGAAGAUCAACAUCUGCUUACUGUUCCUAUGUCUGGGGAAAUCUAGUAACCUGGAGGAGUAAGAAACAAUCAGUUGUAGCUAGGAGUAGUGCAGAAGCAGAGUUCAGAGCUUUGGCAAAUGGAAUCUGUGAAGGAAUUUGGAUAAAGCGUGUACUCAAGGAACUCGGUGUGUGCAGCCCUUCAUCCAUUCUAAUGAGGUGUGACAAUCAAGCAGCAAUCAGCAUCGCAAAAAACCCAGUGCAUCAUGAUCGAACCAAACAUGUCGAGAUUGAUAGGCACUUCAUCUCAGAGAAGGUCACUAGUGGAAGUGUGGAACUAAAGUACAUUCCAACUAGACAACAAAUUGCAGACAUCCUUACUAAAGCACUGCCAAGACCUAACUUUGAAGACUUAAGUAACAAGCUGGGUUUGUAUGAUAUACACACACCAGCUUGAGGGGGAGUGUUGAAAAUAAAGAUUCAAAGUUAUGAUUUAUUUGUAAUCUAGGCUAUUUUAGGAAUAAGUUAAAUUAUAAUGGGAAGAUUCAUUAGGAUUCUUUCUAGAUUUUGUUUCCUAUUAUUUAGGAAAGGAUAGAUGUAGUCUCCUAUUUUCUCUCCUAUUUUGCUGUAUAUAUUCCCUGUACAUACUGUUCUGGAAAGUAAGAAAAAGAGGAACCAAUUCACAUUUUUCUUCAGUUACUUGUGCAGUACAGCCUUGACGCCUAGCUACAUGGUCCAUUCUCUUUGUGUCUUUGAACCAAUCAACAGCAACAAGAUCCAUUAAAUGUUUUCCCGCAGGUGUCUGCAGUUACAAAUUGCACAAAGCACAAGAGCCAACCAAACUACAUCAUAACAUGUCGACCUAGCAUAUGCAGGAUAUAUAAAUACCAUAACAAACAACCAAAAUAUGGGGGAACCUUUGUUUUGUCAUAACAAAAAUGCUUGCUACGAACUCUAAAGUUAUUUCCACCAGAAAGUUUCCAGCAGUCACGAGCAUUAUCACAGUCAUCGUGUCGCAGAUUGCCGGAAAAAUAAGACAAAUCAAUUUGAUCAGCCUGCUCUUCCUCUAGGGUAACAACUAAUUGAAAAUUAUAAACCAAAAAAAAAAAAUCAAUACCAUAAAAAUCCACUAAUGAGGACAUUAGCCAAAUAUACAAAAAUGAAUACUUAUCAUCCACCUGUCCUCUUGAAAUCAUUCUCAAUCUUUUUUUCAUUUGCCUGAAAUCCCAAGGAAAAAUAUGGAACUAAUACUUCCCAUUCAUGACUAUUGUCUGUCAUAUAAACAUGACAUUUAAUUGAAAUAGUAAAAUUAUUUAAUUAUUUUAAUUAAAUGUUAAUCCUAUAAAUUAUUUUUGUUAAAUCUAGCAAGAAUAACUAACAUUUCUUUAAGAUAUAUUUUGGCGGUAAAUUAAAAAAAAUUAAUUAUUUGGCGGGAAUUAUUGAAAUUGGAGCCAUUUUUUUGUGGGAAUUGAAAUAUAUUCUUUAAAUUAUUAUAUAAAAAGAAAAAUGUACAUACACACACAUAUAUAUAAUUUAUAUAUAAAAAUUCUCUAAUUUGUUCACAAGUAUCAUAGAUUAUAAUUCAGUUAUGAAAUAAAAUAACUACAAGGAAAAAUAUGUAACUAAUACUUCCCAUUCAUGACUAUUGUCUGUCAUAUAAACAUGACAUUUAAUUGAAAUAGUAAAAUUAUUUAAUUAUUUUAAUUAAAUGUUAAUCCUAUAAAUUAUUUUUGUUAAAUCUAGCAAGAAUAACUAACAUUUCUUUAAGAUAUAUUUUGGCGGUAAAUUAAAAAAAAUUAAUUAUUUGGCAGGAAUUAUUGAAAUUGGAGCCAUUUUUUUGUGGGAAUUGAAAUAUAUUCUUUAAAUUAUUAUAUAAAAAGCAAAAUGUACAUACACACACAUAUAUAUAAUUUAUAUAUAAAAAUUCUCUAAUUUGUUCACAAGUAUCAUAGAUUAUAAUUCAGUUAUGAAAUAAAAUAACUACAAUAAUUAUAGUUAAAUGAAUACUUCAUUAAUUCUUAAUUUGCUUCCUAACAUUAAAUGAACAACUUGAGCCAACCACCUGAAUCAACCAGUAACAACGCCUGAGUCAACCAUCUGAAAAAACCAGCAACCCUAGCUGAUUCAAGCACCUGCAAUUAACAUCAACACAUCAGGAACAAUCGUAAAUCAGCACCAAGAACAGACCAAACUGCCAUCAAAUGCCACAAAACCAAACAGUCUGCUACUGCCAUCAAAUGCAAGCAAACAUAUGCAACAAAACCAGAUGCAAGUGAAAAUCUGGAGAAUAUCGGAUAAACCAAACCAAAUGCCACACUUCUAGUAAUUAGACUAGAUGCAGUGUUCAAUUAAACUAAAUGUAGUCUCAUAUUACAUUCAAAGGUGAAAACACUGUAAAAAAAAAUACAGCCAAAACAAUUGUUUACUUUUAAGUUCUAACAAAGCGUAACAGUCCAAAACCAAAACAUCUUAACUACCAAGCAAACAUCUAACAUAAUUAUUAAAAUUAAAAAGGAAAAAACAUAGGAAUCUCAGUUCUUAUACAUUUUGUAUGCAUUUAGUAAGCACACGCACAUAGACCAUCUAUGCAUAACCUUCUUCUAGCCCACCUGCAGAUGUCACAGAGAAGAGACAUUUUUUGCAGCUUGAAGUGCUCCAAUUGCUUUGUGAAGGUCCAAUUGUAAGCCUAAAUAUUGAAUCCAUGAGUCCAUAUAAUUGAAGGCUGGUGGCGACUUUUGAGUACAAAUCAAGAGAGAGUGAAGUGUGAAUUUCUGCAUGGCCCAUAACUUCAUCCACGUAGCUAUUCACUUCUUUGCAGUGAAAAGUUCCUUAAUCCUGGCACUAAUGUUGGGCAUCAUUUUGAUUUUUCAAGCCCUUUUAGAACACUUAUUGAUUUAGGAAAUUAAGGGAGCCAUUGAAAGGUGACUAAAACGGAGUGAGUUAGGGGUCCUACCUCUCUGUAGGGCUCUCGAAUCGCGGGAAAUGAGCUCCAUUGUGACCUUCAUUUCCUCCUUUUCGGAAAAAUUAGUUCAUGGCGCUUACGAUGUGAGCAAUUACUCUUUCUGGUGUCCUGAUGGUUGAUAACAGAGACUUUCAGCCUCGCUGCCUCAGGUAAGCUUGAUGGGAGGACCAGAUGUCAUACAAAAAAUAAAAGCUUUCUUUUCUCGGUAAAAGCAUGCGCAUUUUUCUGUAAGUGGGGAAGAGGCCGCGCCGUCAACACUGCAUCGGUGAAGAUGGGUGGUGGUUGUUGGUGGAGAAACGGAGGGAGGUGGCGAUUCUGAGACUUGUUGCGAUUUAGGGUUGGCCGGUUGGGUUUGGGGGAAAUUGGGUAAAGCAAAAUGCAUUUUUGUUGUUAUAUAUAUAUAUAUAUAGAUAUAUAUAUAGUAGUUGGAUUAGCUAAAAGACAAAAAAAUUUAAAUUUUACUACACUACAUGAUAAAAUACAGUGCAUUGGAGUAUGUGUUUAUUUUGUCUUUUAACUAAUCCCUGAUUGGAAAACUACUAUAUAUAUAUAUAUAUAUAUUUUUUUUUUACUUAAUAAAAAAGUGGGCACGGGUCCGGGUUCCGGAUUCUUGGUGCUGUGACCGGACCCGUGCCCGGAUCCGCUUUUUCCAUGCAUCCGAUCCGGGUUUUACCCGGACCGUAUGCACCAGGUCCAGUCCGGAUCCGGUCUGAGCGGGCUUUUCUGCCAUCUCUACAGUGGAGAGAGGGAUUAAUUCAACGCUUAGCCAAAAUUUGGCUGCGAGUGUUAAUGGGUUUUAAGUUAUACAAAACGGUGUCGUUAAUUUAAACGGCAUUGUUUUACAAUCUUAUAAGUUCACAAAACUUAAGCAUGACUUAUAUGUAUAAUUUAUUUACGAUGGUUAAGUUAUAAGUCAUGAAUAUGUCAUAUACUCUGGACAUGAAUAUAUAUCACGAAUCUAUCAUAUUUUCAUGACACAUUCGUGACAUAACGAUAUAUGUUAUAAAAUUUCUGUCAUUAUUUAGUAUUUUUCUAGUAAUGUCAGGUCUUUAAAACCUUUCUAUUAAUAACAAAAACUCUAAUCCUUUAGCAAAAGACUAAAAAUUUUAAAAAAAUCUGUUUAAAUAUCAGUUGGCUCAUAAUCAACACUUCAAUAUUGUUUGUUGUAUUUUCUUUCUUUCUUUUUUUGUCAUUUUAUUAGAUUUGCUUUGUAUCAUGGUUUGUUUUGCUUAAGUAAUUGUUCAUUAUUUACGUCUGUGUUCUUACUAGCUUUUGAUAAUUUAUGGUUGGUUUUUUAUUCAGACCCUCGAAGUACCUUUUUGUUAAUAGCAAAACCUCUGAUCCUCAAGAAAGAAAAAGAAAUUCUCUAUUUAAUUAUUAGUUAGUUCAAGAUCAAUAUCGCAAUAUUGUUUGCAGUCUUUUCAUUCUCUGUCUUUCCCACUAGUUCAUUUUAAUUUAUCUGUAUUCCUUUCUUUGACACUUGUAUUUAUUUAUAUAGAUUGUUAAGCAACAGGCAAUGGCUGCAGAAGGGUGUCUCCCUACUUUUUCUAGCAUUGUAUCACAAGGUUCAAAAGCAUUAUUCAAACCGAUUAUGUGGCACAUAUCUUAUGUGUUCCGAGUACCAGAGCUACAUAGAUGGGCUAAAAGAUUGAGUGAAGGAGCUGGAAUAUAUAAGAGAAAGGGUGCAAAUGCUGGUUAGAGAGGCUACUCUACAAGGAGAUGAGAUUUAUAAGGGUGUCAGAGACUGGCUAAAUAGAGUUGCUGAAUUCAGUGAAGGGGUUGCAAAAUCAAUCAUUGAUGAUAAAGAUAGAGCUAAGAUGUUCUGCUUCAAAAGGUUGUGCCCAAAUUUGAUUUCUUGUUACAAGCUUGGUAAACAAGCAGCAGAGGCCGCAAACGAAGCUGAUAAACUUGUGAAGAAAGGCGAAUUUAACAUUUGUAAUCAUGUUUCCUACCGUCCUGCUCCAGAGAGUACAGAAUAUGUGCAAGUGAAAGAUUACGUAGCCUUUUAUUAUAAUAUCUUUUCACUCUAUUAACUUAAAAAAGAUUGACUUCAAUAUUAAAAAUGUAACAGUAUAUACAUUUUAUAAUAAUUUCAAUAUUUAAAAAAUAUUUGAAUACUUUACAAUCUUAUAUUAUAUUAAACUACAUUUUAUAAUAAAUAGAAACAUAAUAUUAAAAUAAAUAUAUAAAAUUUUAAGUUAGGCUUAAUAUUAUUUAAAAUAAUUUAAAUAUCAUUAAUACAUGAGAUAUAUUAUAUUAAUUAUAAAUUCUAUUUAAUCUAAAUAUAUAUUUAAAGUUUUAUACUAAAAAUAGAUAUAUUAUUAAAAUAAAUAUAACAACUAACAUUUUAAAGAUUAAUACUGAAAUUAAAAUUAUAAAUUAUAUUAAUCUACUAAAAAGAUUCAUCUAUUUGACACUAGCAGCGGACAAUGAGGUCACGGCAUAGGACAAGCAGUUAUCGUGACCCAUGGACUUUUCUACUUCUUUUGAAAAAAAAAAAAAUAUCAAAGUCAUUGAAGUGCGUUUGAUGAUAUGCUGUGUAGCUUCUCUCUCAAAUGCUUUUCGAGUGCCUCCAGUAUCUGCUUUUAUAUAAGCUUUUGUCUUUAAUCAUUCAUUCAAGCUUUCGCUAAGAGUGAUGCAGCACAGCACGUAAAUAUAGAAGCAUUGACAGCCGUAGUCAGGAGCUCUUCGGUAUUUGAAGCAAGAAUGGUUGUUUGGCUUUGUGCAUUGAAAGAGAAAAGAAAAAAGAAAGACUAAUUUCAAUAAUACAAUUUAAUUAAUUAAUUUAAAAUAAUAAGCAAAUAAUAAUGAUGAAAUUAAUUAAUAAAAAGAAGAAAAUGAAAAUUGCACGUGCUACUAGCAUAAACCAAUUGCCGGAAUGAGGUCACUUUGUAGACAAAUGAUUCUGGAAUCAGAACUUGGGCCAGCUUUGGGUUAUGGAUCCAAAAUAAAAAUAAGGUGGGCCACAUGGUCUCUUAUGAUCAAUAAAAAUCGAUUGAAAAGGAUGGUAUAGUGAGUGGAAGAGAAAUGCCGAUGGCAGAUCAAGGGAUGAAGAUACGAGCUCACUUGCAACGUGGUAUAGUUCAUCAUGGCUGGCUUUCCUAUAAGUUCAGGUCCUUUGAAUACUUUCAAUGACCUUAUUAGUCAGGAAUUUAACAAUAAUUUUUAUUUUUUACAUCCAGGAACGGUUUUAAGCAUAGGCAAAUUAGGCCUAUAAUAGCAAAUCCUCUUUUUUAACAAUUAAACAAUUAGGAAGUCUCCCUUUUUUAUUUUUGGUAUUACUUAUAAUAGCAAAUCUUCUUUUUUAGGCCUCUUUUUAGUUAGUAAUUAUCUUAUAAUUAAGAAUUUUUAUACACAUUCUAUCUUUGAUAACCUUAAUAUUAAAGAUCUCUAAUUAAUAGUAUUAUCUAAUUGUUAAUUUAUUAUUAGUUUUUCCAAGAAAAAAAUUAAAAUCUUUAUCUAUUUAAUACUUCAGUUUUUUUUUCGUCAGUGGCAGAUAAAAGAGUCGGUUUUUCCGUUACUAAGCUUUUUAUGGAUGAAUUUUUUUUUAUAAUUUCUUUGUUUUAUAGGUUCUCUGUGAAUGCCAUUAGAAAUGAGAUUGACUAAUUCAAACUUCCUUUUUCCCCUUAGCAUCCAAACGUGUGAGGCAAGGGCAACUAAUGAGUCCAUUGUGAUGAGAACCUUUGUCUAAGCAAAAGCAGAGGUCAAUUGCUAAUACCGUACUGUUAUUAGUUUCAGUGCUUAAAUUGCUCCAUAAGUUUGCAUUUUAAAGUCUCUGUCUUAAUUUCUGAGGUAUACUGCUAAUGAGACCUCCUGCCAAGUUCAAGUUUGUUGUGAUGGCUACUUUGUCAUAUAACUGACUGUGAGAGGCCAUCAAUCAGCUCUGUUUUGUAAUUUUGUACCUUUUUUUUUCAUAUAAUGAUCAAUCAAAUGUUAGCCCUUAGAUUGCAACCAAUAUUUACUGAUUGUCUUAUAUAGGAUAUAAACUAAAUUCAUAAGACAUUCCCUUAUUGAUAUUCAUUCCGACACGUCCUAGUCUUUUGCCUUGUAGAAAUGCUUGUGGUUGAAGAGCUUUACAGAGAAGCUGUCGUCAGUACUGCGCGGAAAUUGAUUAUAUUGAAUCAGAAAACUUGACCAGAUAAGGUCUGUGUGCAUGAGAAUACUUGAGGAAAGCUUCACAAUACUGAGGGCCGGAUCUGCACUCUUUCCUCUAUAUGUGUCUUCAAUAUCAAUGGCUCAAAUACAUGUGUUAUGGUCUUUUAAUAUAUAUAAAAUACCAUUAUCUCAUGCGUUAUGGUCUUAUCCUUGUAUUCUUAAAAACUACAUAAAAUACCGUUAUCUCUGCUUUUGUAGCUAUUGAAUUCGACUUUCACAACAUAAAUAUUUAUUAGCAACAACUUAAAAUCCAAACAAAUCUAACAUGCAAUGUAUCAAUUACAUAUUAUGAUUAAACAGAUUUUGAUUAUUUAUUAUUAAAAUAUAUUCUCAUUAAUAUCUUAAGGAUAGGUAAUACUCACAUAAUUUUUUUAAAAAUCAAACCCAAAUUAUAUGCAUUGUUAAUGUGUAUUAUUGUCUAAUAUUUGGAUUUUACUAAUUUACAACUGCUAUAAUGUACGGCCUCUUCAAACAUAAUGUGGGUCCCACCACGUGUUAAAUUUUUUACAUUAUUUUUGAAGGAAUUGUAAGUUACAGCAGCUGUAAAUUAGCAGCACCUCCAAUAUUUUACUUUACUUCCCCUAAUAUUUUACUUGUACUUUUAUAUCUUUACAAAACAAUACCAACAAGACAAUAAUGUAUGAAAUAAAUAAAAUAAAUAAAUAAAGAACUGACAACGAAAUUAGGCCUAUCAUUAAUUUCUCUUGGUGUGAACUCUUGACAAUUCUCCCAUAUCCCACCUAAAGCUCUCGCAUGGUGUGAACGCUUGACGAUUCUCCCAUAUCCCUCCAAAAAUUUGUCAUAUUGCGAAAAACAAUGUCAAUUCAAUAUCGUCUCCAUUAGUCAUAGUGGCAGAUAGGACUAGAAUUUGUUGAAACCCUUGGACUUAUUUUUCCUUUUGAAAAUAAUUUUGUAGAAUCUCAUAUCGUGAAUAACGGACAAUGAGACUCUUUUUUUUAACUAUAAUAUUUUUUUAAAAUUAUUAACUAAAAAAAUUAAUUUUAAUAUUUUAUAAUAAAUAUAAGUAGGAUAUUAAAAUAAAUAUAAUAAUAUAUACAUAUUAAAAUAAUUUCAAUACCAAAAAAUAUUUUAAUAGUUUACAAUCUCGUAUUCUAUUAAACCAAAUUAUAAUAAAUAGAGACAUAAUAUUAAAAUAAAUAUAUAAAAUUUUAAAUUAUUUUCAAUAUCAUAUAAAAUAACUUUAAUAUUAUUAAAACGUGAGAAAUAUUAUAUUAAUUAUAAAAACUAUUUAACCCAAGGAUUUGUUUAAAAUUUUUAUAAUAAAUAUAUUAAAUUACAUUUUAAAAAUUAAGUAUUUAAAUUAUACAUACUAGUCUACUAGAAAAUUUAAACUAUUUAAAUCAUAUUUACAUUUAGUAAAAAAUUUUGAAGUCAUUUUUUUUUUUGUGAAUACCAUAAGAGUGCUAUAGUCAAAAAGGGUAUUGGUGUUCUUUAUUAAAAGUUUGGGGUCUACAUGACUAUUUUCUAAAAUUUUAAGGGUGUCAUUUUAUUUUUGAAAAAAAUAAAAAUUUCAUUUAAACAGCUAAAAUGGUGAAUAGUACAAUGCUACAGUGGGCGUAAAUGGAAGGUAAAAAGCAAUCAGAUUUUGAUUAAACAUGCAAUGUAUGAAAUAUAUAUUAUAAUUAUACAGAUUUUGAUUAUUUAAUAUUAAAUUAUAUUCACAUUAAUAUCUUAAGGAUAGUUAAUACUCAAAUAAUUUUUCAAAAAAUCAAACCCAAAUUAUAUGCAUUGUUAAUGUGCGUUAUUGUCUAAUAUUUGGAUUUUGCUAUGUCACAACUACUGUAACUUAAAGCCUCUUCAAACAUAUGUCGAUCCCACCACGUGUUAAAUUUUUUACAUUAUUUUUUAAGGGAUUGUAAGUUACAACAGCUUAACUUAGCAGCACCCUAAUAGUUUAUUUUACUUUUAUAUCUUUACAAAACAAUGCCAACAAGACAACAAUGUAUGAAAUAAAUAAAAUAAAUAAACAAAGAUCUGACAGCAAAAUUAUGGCUAUCAUUGGUUUCUUGUGGUGUGAACUCUUGACAAUCCUCCCCAAUCCCAUCCAAAACUCCCGCGUAGUGUGAACAUUUGACGAUUCUCCCAUAUCCCUCCAAAAAUUUGUCAUAUUGCGAAAAGUAAUGUCAAUUGCAAUGUCGUUUUCAUUAGUCAUAGUGGCAAAUAGGACUAGAAUUUAUUGAAACCCCUCGACUUAUUUUUCCUUUUGAAAAUAAUUUUGUAGAACCUCAUAUCGUGAAUAAAAGACAAUAAGACUCUUUUUUUUAAUUAUAAUAUUUUUUAAAUUUAUUAACUAAAAAAAUUAAUUUUAAUAUUUUAUAAUAAAUAUAAGUAGGAUAUUAAAAUAAAUAUAAUAAUAUGUACAUAUUAAAAUAAUUUCAAUACCUAAAAAUAUUUUAAUAUUUUACAAUCUCGUAUUCUAUUAAACCAAAUUAUAAUAAAUAGAGACAUAAUAUUCAAAUAAAUAUAUAAAAUUUUUAAUUAUUUUCAAUAUCAUAUAAAAUAAUUUUAAUAUUAUUAAAACAUGAGAAAUAUUAUAUUAAUUAUAAAAUCCAUUUAACCCAAGGAUUUGUUUAAAAUUUUUAUAAUAAAUAUAUUAUUAAAAUAAAUAUAUUAAAUUACAUUUUAAAAAUUAAUUAUUUAAAUUAUACAUACUAGUCUACUAGAAAAUUUAAACUAUUUAAAUCAUAUAUACAUUUAGUAAAAAAUUUUGAAGUCAUUUUUUUUUUGUGGCUACCAUAAGAGUACUAUAGUCAAAAAGGGUAUUGGUGUUCUUUAUUAAAAUUUUGGGGUCUACAUGAUUAUUUUCUAAAAUUUUAAGGGUGUCAUUUUAUUUUUGGAAAAAAAAAUUCAUUUAAACAGCUAAAAUGGUAAAUAGUACAAUGCUACAAUGGCGUAAAUGGAAUGUAAAAAGCAAUCAAAAUGACCAACAGUCUAACGCCUCAUCAGGGACAUAAAGUCAAAGUUUGUUGCAUGUGGUCAGGGCCAUUUAGUCUGUGAGUGGGUCCUGCAUGUCAUUUUUGGGCAUUUCAUCUUCUUUAGCAUUGAAGAUUAAAUGUUGACGACAUUUUCAAAAUUUUGGAAGACCCAUUAUACUUUUGGAUGGCUGUCAUUACUUGAUAUUAUCAUUAUAUGAUGAAAUAAAAUUGGAUGUAACACUUGUUUCGCGUUGUGGGAACUUUUGACAAUUCCCCAUAUCUCCUAAAAAUCUUUCGCCAUUUUGGGAAGAUGCCAUUUAUUUUCAUUUUCAUCAUUGAUAUUGGCAGAUAAUGGGGUCCGAGGACAGACCAUAAAUUAUUGCGACCCAUGGACUUUUCUAAUUUUUUUUUUUCCUUUGGAUAGUUUUCGUUAUUUGAUAGAAGGAGAUAGAGAUAAAGUUUUUUAAUCAAAUGCCCAUUUUAUUUAACAUGGAAGAAGAUCUUUAAACUCUAAGCGAGGCUAUCACUUCAACAGAUGCAGCUUCAAAAAAGAGGUAACAAGUGAUGAGAUAGACUCAUUAUUGUCUAAUCAAACAAGGACAUCGGUAGAUGUAUCAGGAUCUUAAGUUAGAUUGGAAUUUGAUACAUUGUUGUUCGUAACGUUGGUUCAAACCUUUAAAGCAAGGUUGGAUGCAAAAUGGUUUACACCAAAGACGUGAUUUAGGAAGUUAAUUAACGUUAUUUUAGAUAAUUUAUAAUUCUAAAAUAUUUAUUAUUUUAUGGUUUUCUAUUUUUGUUUGAGUCAAUUAUGGUAUGUAUCUUAAUCUUUUAUUUCCAUUAUAAUUAUAAUUUAAAUUUUCUUUUUAGGUUAACUUAGGAAAGUGGAUUUCUUUUAUUAUAAAUAAAGAUGUCUGUAAUAAAAAAAAUAAAGAUGUCUUGUCAUUGUUUUCAGGACUUCAAAUUCAAUUAUUAAAUAAAACUCUUUUUUUUAUAAUUUCCUCUAGUAUUAUUUAUCAAAAUCUCUCUUAUAGAGUUAUUUAAAUUAGAGUGUCAUCUAAUCUCGUAUUACGCGUUAUUAAAAAUCUCAUUGAAUCAUUUAGAUUAAAACAAUAUCUAAUCACGCUUUGAUUAAAGCGUAAGUUAAUUGUGUUGGCUUGAUCCAGUACUAGAAUGAUAUUUAGUAUUUCUUACCUUAUCAAUUCCACUUCCGCUACGCUCGCUCCAUCAAUUGGUAUCAAAGCAAUUCUGUGCGAAUCACACAUCUUUCCUAGAUACACCAUACCCAUCCAAACCAAAUCCAUCAAAAAAAAAAAUUACAAAUUUGAAAACCCUACCCGUCAGACCAACCCCCACCGCCGCCCACCACCGCCAAUCAGCCAGCCAACACCACCACAAACCUCACUAGCCACCGUCGACCAAGCCUCAGUCAUCGCUGCCUCAACCGCCGCUUGAACAGCCGCAAAUCACCAACCCAAACCUGCGGCUCCACCAAGCAACCCACCACCAUUCAGCCACUUUCUCCACCAGCCACCUCCACCAACAAACUCGCCGGCCUUCGUUGACCAAAAACUGACCGACUUCGGCCCUUGAUCGCCGCCCUCUGUCACCACACGAAACGACAACCCACGAGUGCUUCCUACACGCGCCGCCACCAAAACACCUUCUUUUUCCGUCAAUUUACACCACCACCAUAAUCCCUAGCAGUCGGCAACCGUAAAUCCAGUCUUCCGCCACUGUAAAGCCGCCAUAAACCAAAAGCCACAUCACCAAAAUCAACCGCCAAUUCAAGUCGGAUUUUCCCCAAUUCAGGUUGCUGAAUAUAAAAAGGACUCAUGAAAAUUACCUAAAGUUUCAAAUAUUGUUAUUCAGCAACCACUUUUAUGGUACAUUAGUUUCAACCCAAAUUUUAUAUAAAUAAUUUAUAACUCCCAUUAUUAUUAUAAAAAAAAAUUGUAGCAAUUGUGGUUAUAUCACAUGAAAAAAAAAAUCUAAUUAAAGAAAUUAACAUUAUAAUUUAAGGGAUAGUUGCUCUUUUAAUCAUUAGAAUUUAUGUCAAUUAUCCAGCUUAUCCUUGCAUUCUUAAAAACUAUAUACAAUACCAUUAUCUCUGCUUUUGUAGCUAUUGAAUUUGACUUUGACAACAUAAAUAUUUAUUAGCAACAACUUAAAAUUCAAACAAAUCUAAUAUGUAAUGUAUGAAAUACAAAUAAUAAUUAAACAAAUUUUGAUUAUUUAAUAUUAAGAUAUAAUCACAUUAAUAUCAUAAGGAUAGGUGGUACUCAAAUAAUCUUUUAAAAAUCAAACCCAAAUUAUAUGCAUUAUUAAUAUGCAUUAUUGUAUAAUAUUUAGAUUUUGUUAAGUUACAACUACUAUAACUUAAGUCUCUUAAAAAAUAUGUGAGUCCCACCACCUAUUAAAUUUUUUACAUUAUUUUUGAAAAAAUUACAAGUUACAUCAGUUGUAACUUAACAGCACCCCUAGUAUUUUACUUUACUUUUAUACCUUUACAAGAACAAUAAUGUAUGAAAUAAAAAAAAUAAAUAAAUAAAGAACUGACAACGAAAUUAGACCUAUCAUUAGUUUCUUGUGGUGUGAACUCUUGACAAUCCUCCCCUAUCCCACCUAAAGCUCUCGCGUGGUGUGAAUGUUUGACAAUUCUCCCAUAUCCCUCCAUAAUAUGUCAUAUUGCGAAAAGCAAUGUCAAUUGCAAUGCCGUUUCCCAUUAGUCAUAGUGAUAGAUAGGACCAGAAUUUUUUGAAACCCCCGAGGCCCUAAACUUGUUUUUCCUUUUGAAAAUAAGAAAAUGGCACCUGUCUAGAGAAAUAAUUUAUUAGAACCUUAUAUCAUGAAUAACGGCCAAUAAGACUUUUUUUAAAUUAUAAUAUUUUUAAAUUUAUUAACUAAAAAAAUUAACUCUAAUAAUUUAUGAUAAAUAUAAAUAGGAUAUUAAAAUAAAUAUAAUAAUAUAUAGAUAUUAAAAUAAUUUCAAUAUCUAAAAUAUUAAUAUUUUACAAUCUCGUAUUCUAUUAAACCAAAUUAUAAUAAAUAGAGACAUAAUAUUCAAAUAAAUAUAUAAAAAUUUAGGUUAUUUUCAAUGUCAUAUAAAAUAGUUUUAAUAUUAUUAAUACCUGAGAAAUAUUAUAUUAAUUGUAAAAUCUAUUUAACCUAAGGAUUUAGUUAAAAUUUUAAAAUAAUUACAAAUAUUUUAUAAGUACAAAUAAAUUAAUUUACAUUUUAAAAAUUAAUAUUGAAAUUAAUUAUUUAAAUUAUAUAUAUUAGUCUUCUGGAAAAUUUAAAUUAUUUAAAUCAUAUUUACAUUUCGUAAAAAAUUUUAAGUCAAUUUGUUUGAUUACCACCUGCUAAGGGUAUUGUAGUCAAGGGGAAUAUUGGUAUUCUUUAUUAAAAAUUUGGGAUCUACAUGAUUAUUUUUCUAAAUUUUAAUGGUGUCAUUUUAUUUUUGACAAAAAUAAAAUUUCAUUUAAACAACUAAAAUGAUGAAUAAUACAGUGCUACAGUGGCGCAAGUGGAAGGUAGGAAACAAUCAAAAUGAACAGUCUAACGUCACAGCAGGCAUAUAAGGCCAAAGUUUGUUACAUCCCAAUACAAAAAGUUUGAAACUUUGCACCUUCUGAAAUGAAACAAACUUACUUGGAUAUUGGUGAUCAGUGAGAAAAGCCCUUUUUCAAAAGCAACCUUAGGGUACCGAGUGUUACAGAUUCAAUGAACCACAAAUACUUAUUUACAUUGUAGUAUCUCAAAGGCACCGAUUUCUUCUGAUCCGUUAAGGAAAACAAGAAAAAUAAAAAGAAAAGAAAAAGGGUACUUGUGCCACACAACCUUGACGCCUAGCUACAUGGUACAUUCUCUUUGUGUGUUUGAACCAAUUAACAAUAAUGGUGCCUUUACUUCUUGGACUGGAGAAUCGAAAUCCGAAAUCGAAAUCAUUAAUGAUGUUUACUUCAUAAAAUGGAGGCUGGGAUCCGAAUCAGAACUAUGGGGACCACCCAAAUUAGGAGUGAGGAAUGGAAGAUUGAUUCCUAAGGAAGGUGGUGGGAAUCAAUCCCCCAUUCCCAAGAUUGAUCAUUUUGCCCCCUCUCACAAACUAUAAAAUAUCUAUUUUGUCCUCAAUUAAAAAAUUAUUAUGAUUAAUUAAUAUAUGUUUAUAAUUUAUUAAUAUAACUAUUCUAAUCAAUUUAUAUAUAUUUUAAAUAUAUUAUUAUUAAAUAAUUAAUAUAUUAUUAUAAUUAAUUAAUAUAUUUUGAAUUUUUAUUAUUAUCGUCAUCAUCAUCAUUAUUAUUGUUAUGAAUGAUAAAUUUUUUUACAAUUAAUUAGUAUAUUAAUAUAUUAUUGACAAUAAUUAAUAAUAAUAAUAAUUUUUGAAUAAAUAAAUAAAUAAAAUUAAUUACUGAAUUUGAACAUUUUACAAUUAUUCUAUUAUUUGGACUUAUCGAGAACUUACAUGCAGCGUAGCUAGUUUGCUAGCAUAUGUAAGGUUUAAUUUGAAUGCAUGCAGCAUUGAGAAGAGACAACGCAGAAACAAAAUUUCCGCUUGCAAUCUUUUCAUUUCCCUUUUUAAUAACAAGCAAAAUAGAGGAUAAACAGGGACUUUGUUUUAAUUCUCCUGUUUUUCUGUUUGGUGAUUUUAAAAUUUUAUGUCUAUAUUUAUCAAAAAAAGUUAUCCAAAAUUAUUAUCUAUUUUUGAUACACGUUGAUUUAUUAAAAAAAAAUUAAAAACUUCAUUUCUAAAUUUAUCGUUGUGCUUUGACCUUGGGGUGGUUUUUUUCUGUUUUUUUACGUAGGCCAGAACCUUAAUGAAGAAAGUUUUCAUCGUUAAUUGCUUUUGACCUAGGAGAAUUUAUUCUUGGACAAAUUAACACCUUUGUCUUUUGAUGCGGCUCCUAGAUAUCUAUGCAAUUUGUGUCAUUUACUUUUGCUUUGUAUUCUUUUUUAAAUGAGUCCCGAUUGGUUCAUUUGCAGAUAAAUGAGUCAGUUUUUCUGUUUUUAUUUUUUGAAAGACGGUUUUUCUGUUACGAAGCUUUUCAUGGAUGAAUAUUUUUUUUUUAAUUUUAUAGAUUCUCUGCGAGUUUUGUUAGGUAGAAGGGUAUUUAAGUAUUUUCAUUUCAUAUUUUGACAUUUCCUUGACCUUUGAAGUAUUGAAUCAUUGUGCAGGUAUUUAAGUAAAUCUGCCCACAAUGAAGAAUAGUUCAGAACAGUUGCGGAAGAUAAAUGGCUCAAAUAUAUGCGUUAUGAUCUUUUAAUAUUUCGCCUCUGAUAUUGUCCACAUUGCUUACUGCAAUAGAUAAAGCACUUCGUUUACCCCAAAUCCUGAUAGGGAAGUAUAAAUAUGUGCUUCCGAAAUAGUGCAACUCUCCAUAAUUAUUUAAUAUGCCUCUCAAUGAAGCAAUCACCUUCAUUUACAAUUCUUCGAUUAUUAAUCCUACAUACACGUGUUUCUUUUGUCUCUAAAAGUAUCCUCAAUUAAUUUACAUAAUUUAAUAUAAUAAGUACCUAAGACUAGACAAAUUAUCAUUAUAAUAGUAUUGACACAAUAAUGUCAAUAAUAAAUGCCUUAACAAACCUAUAAAUUUUAGAAUAUGGCUCAGAGUGCUACAAUGAACCACAACAAGUUAUUAUAUUGUCUAUAAUCAAUAUUCCAAUGGUAAUAGAGUUUUUUUAUUUUCAAUCCGCUGCUUUUCUGUUUAGCGAUUGCCAAAUUUUAUAUCUAAAAUUCUUCUAAUUUUAUAUCUAAAAUUCUUCUAAUUUUACACUAAGGUUUAUUUUUUCAAAAAAGGGGGGGGGGGGGGGGGGGGGGGGGGGCAGGAGAGAGAGACUUAGAGAGUAUUAAAAAAUGUAAUUCUAAAUUUUUACUUGAGUGUUGUGUGAUUUUGAUCAUUUUUUUAAAGUUGGCCAUUUAUAUUGAAUAAAUAAAAUAACGAAUAGACGUUUGGACCACUUCUUUUCUGUUAUAAUAAAACAUGAGAUGUCUUCUCUUGAUGUUUUCGUCACAAAAGAAUAUGUUUAAUUAUGUCAUCAUAGGCUUAAAUGGGAUGCCUUUUCUGUUAUAAGAUCGAGAACAAGUUUGUUUAAGCACUAGAGCCGCUAAAUAAAAGAAAGGCUCAUAUAAAAAUUACCUAAAGCACCAAAUAUUGUUAUUCAGCUACUUCUUUUAUGUUACAUUAGUUUCUACGCAAAUUUAUAUAAAUAAUUUAUAACUCCCAUCAUUAUUUAAAAAAUAAAAACCAUAGCAAUUGUGGUUAUAUCAUGUGGUGUGAUCUUUUGACAAUCCUCCCACAUCCCACCAAAAACUCUCACAUGGCGUGAACUUUUGACAAUUCUUCCAUAUCCCACCAAAAAUUUGUCAUGUUGCGAAAGGCAAUGUCAAUUGUAUUGUCAUUUCCAUUAGUUAUAGUGGCAGACAAUGUAGUCCCGGGAUAAGACUAGAAGUUUUUGAAACCCAUGGACUUAUUCUUACUUUAUUUUUUCUUUUGAAAAUGAGAAAAGGACACCCGUUUCGGGAAAUAAUUUUGUAGAAUCUCAUAUCGUGAAUAAGAGAUAAUAAGACUUUUCUUUUUUACUUUACUGCAAUACUCUUUAAUUUUAUUAAUUUUAUAUUUUAUAAUAAAUAUAAAUAUGAUACUAAAAUAAAUGUAAUGAUAUAUACAUAUUAAAAUAAUUGGAUAUUGAAAAAUAUUUUAAUAUUUUACAAUCCCGUAUAAUAUUAAACCAUAUUAUAAUAAAUAGACAUAAUAUUAAUAUAUAUAUAAGUUUAAAUUAUUUUGAAUAUCAUAUAAAAUAAUUUUAAUAUUAUUAAUAAAUCAGAAGUAUUACAUUAAUUGUAAAAUCUAUUUAAUCCAAGGAUUUAUUUAAAAUUUUUAUAAUAAAUUAAAAAUAUAUUGGUUAACAUUUUAACAAUUAAUAAUGAAAUUAAUUAUUUAAGUUAUAUAUAUUAGUCUACUAGAAAAAUUUAAACUACUUCAAUCAGAUUUACAUUUAAUGAAAAAAUUUGAAGUUAAUUUUCUUUUUAUCAUCUACUACGAAUCUUGUAGUUAAAAGAGGUAUUGACAUUCUUUAUUAAAAAUUUGAGGUCUACAUAACUAUUUUUUUUUUUAUUUUAAGGGUGUCAUUUUAUUUUUGACAAAAAUAAAAUUUCAUUUAAAUGGCUAAAAUGGUGAAUAAUACAAUGUUACAGCUGGCGUAAAUGGAAGGUAGGAAACAAUCAAAAUGACCAACAGUCUAAUGCCACAGCAAGGACAUGAGGUCAAAAAAUUCCCUUAUUAAUUAGUAAAAGAGAGUCACUUGGGCUUAUGGCGGGCAAAAUCGGAUAUAGAUCAGAUUCAAAUUAAUCCGAUAAAUUUGAUAUUGUUUGCAUUGAUAAAAAAAGUCACCCAAAUGCAAUCUAAACAUGUGUGUGUGUGUAUACAUAUUUGUUAUAAAUUAAAGUUACAAAAGUCUUUAACCAAGGCCAUUCAUAGUAAGUUUCAAAUUUUUAGGUUAAUAUCUGUAACUUCAUCAUGCUGGCCAUAAAUAAAGCUUGCAGGUCUAGGCGGGAUUGACUCGAGUUUUUUUGCCAAUCCUACGCAUGACGGGCGGUGUUAGGAAUAAUAUCCUGCAUCAAUUGAGUAUUGAACUUGGGUUCAGCAUAUAAGAUUUGGACAACUCUUAACUCUUGAGCUAACUUACUAAGUUUUGGAUUGAGUUAAGCAUGUAUGCUUCAAUAUCACAAAUUAGUCUUUCGUUACCAUUACUUAUUUUUUCUAUUGUUUAAUCCUAACACAAUAAAUGACCUUUCAUCCCAAAAGAACUAAAGUAAUCAUUUUAGACGAAUUAAGACACCAUAAAGUAAAUCUGCACACUAUGAAAAAUACUUUGGAACAGUUAAGGAAGCGUGAGAAUACUUGGGGAAAGCUUCAUAAUUGUUACGGCCGGAUCUACACUCUUUCCUCUAUAUGCAAUAAAUAUAUGCGUUAAUGAUCUCUCAAUAUUUUGCAUCCGAUAUUGCCCACAUCGCUUACCACAAUAUAUUCACUUUAUAAACAAAGUUUACAACCCAAAUACUAAUAGAGAAUAUAAAUAUGUACUUGUCAAUGAAGCAAUCACCUUUAUUUAGAAAUUUUUUAUUAUUAAUCCUACGUACACACACCUCUUUUGUCUCCAAAAAUAUUCUUAAUUAAUCCACACAAUUUAAUACAAUAAAUACCUAAGAUUACACAAAUUUUCAUUACAAUAGAAUAUAUAAUUUAUAAUAUUAUUGAUACAAUGAUGCCAAUAAUAAAAAUCCUAUAAACCUUACAAAUUUUAGAAAAUGGCUUAGAGUGUGACAGGUUGAAUGAACCACAACAAAUCAUUUACAUUAUAGUAUCUAUGAUCAAUAUUCUAAUGAUAAUAGGGCUCCUCCAUUUUCAUUUCCCUACAUUUUCUGUUUGGUGAUUGUCAAAUUUUAUGUCUAAAAUUUUUCUAAUUUUACAGUGAGGUUUAUUUUUUAAAGAGAGAGAGAGAGAGACUCAAAGAGAAUUAAAAAAAAUGUAAUUCUAAAAUUUUACUUGUGCAUUUUGUGAUUUUUACCAUUUUUUAAGUUGGCAAUUUGUAUUGAAUAAAUAAAAUAAUAAAUAGACUUAUGGACCACUUUUUUCUGUUAUAAUAAAAAUCAGAGGUCCUUUCUUGAUGUUUUCUUUCCAUAUGAAUAAAUUAGAAUUUUAUUGGUACAGUAAUGUCAAUAAUAAAAUUCCUAACAAACAUACAAAUUUUAGAAUAUGGAUUAAAGUGUUACAAGUUGAGUGGAUCACAACAAGUUAUUUAUAUUGUAGUGUCUAUGAUCAGUAUUUCAAUGAUAUCAAGGGUCCUCUAUUUUCUUUCCCUUGCAAUUUUUGUUUGGUCAUCGCCAAAGUUUAUAUCUAAAAUUUUUCUAAUUUUACACUGACAUUUAUUUUUUUUUUAAAAAAAAGAGAAAGAGAGACACGGAGAGAACUAAAAAAUGUAAAUCUAAAUUUUUGCUUGUGCGUUAUGUGAUUUUUAUCAUUUUUUAAGUUGGCCAUUUGUAUUGAAUAAAAAAAGUAAUAAAUAGACUUAUGGACCACUUGUUUUUUUAUUAUAAUAAAACAUUUUCUUCUCCUGAUGUUUUUCAUCUCACAGGAAUAUAUUUAUCUCAUCGUGGGCCCAAAUGGGGUAAAUAAAUUGGGAUCAAGGACAAGUCUGUUUAAGUGUUGAAAUUGCAAGAAGACCUCAUAAAAAAAAUUGCCUAAAGCCCCAUUAUUGUUAUUCAACUAUUACUUUCAUGACACUUACACAAAUAAUUUAUAACUCCAUCUUUAUUUAGGGAAAAAACUGUAGCAAUUGUUGUUAUAUCACAGGAACAAAUUCCAAUUAAAAAUAUAAUAAGAAUUAAUUGCAAAUUUUGUAAUAAAUAUCAAUAUAAUUUAAUAGUUUAAUUUUUUUUGGUAGAGUAAUAUAAUUUAAAAAAUUAAUAUUUAAAAAAAUAAUAUCAGUAUUACUUUUUAAAAUGCAAAUUAUUAAAAUUAUAUUAAUAAUGUAUUUUUAUUUAUUAUAAAAUUUAUUUUAAUAAAAUCUUAAAUUUUUUUAAAUAUUUGUAUAUAUUGUUAUAUGUUAUUAUAAUAUUAUAUUUAUAUUUAUUAAAAUAUAAGAGUUAAUAUUUUUAAAUUAAUAAAGACAAAAAGUAUUAUAAUAAAAAAGAAUUCUUUUAUUAAAAAUAUAAUCAUUCUCCCAAACUUAUCCUUGUCCCUUUUUGAAAGGAAAAAAUAAAUUAGAAAAGUCUAUGGUCAUGAUAACUUCUAGCCUUGUCCCGUGGGACAUGGCUACGGUGCAGAAGCUGAAAGUAACAGCUUCGAACUUUCCCAUUUCCAUCACCUUGUUGAUGGUUGUUGAAGCCAAUAAAAAUAAAUUCCUACUCUAAAUAAAUUGUGUAUAGUGAUUGAGCAGGGUCGUGUCCACAGAGAUCGGUAAUUAUUUAAAUUCUUUUGAAACGUAAAACGUAAAAUGGGAGAAUUGUUGACAAUAAUAAAAAAUCAAAUUAAAAUAACAAAAAUGCAAAUUAAAGUUGUAAUUCAAAUUGGAGAAAGCUUUGGUUGAAGGAAUUAACUCAGUUUGAUUCGACUACUGAUCAUUGAUUCAAAAAUAGAUUAUUAUUACUUAUGAAUAAACUGGUUAUAGCUAUUGAGACCCUCUAAUAGCCAAUCUCUCCUUAACUAGUCGAUAACCAAGGUACGACUAUUGGAUAUUUCCCUAAUCAAUAGACAACCCUAGAUACGAUCAUAGGAUUUAAUCAAUUGACAGCCUGAAAAACCAGAGCGACCCAAAUCCUAAUCAACACAUAUGAUGAUUCAUUUAAAUUAGAUUGUUUAUUCCCAUAACACAACUCACUGCUAUGUUAUUUGUCACAAACAUUAAACUCGUCAUACGAUGAAUUCUUUAAUUGACAAUAGAUUAAGUUGAUAAUUAAAUAGUGGCCAAUUACCUAAUUAACAAACAUAAUCAUGAAACUAAUUCAGAGAAUAAACAAAUACCCAAAAAGUAAUAAAACAAUUAAAGCAUAAGAAAGAUCUCACAGUAGUGAUGAAUCAAAAAUUCAUUAACCUUCAACUAGAAAAAAUAAGUUUAGUUUUUCAUAGAGAGAAGAGAAAAAUUAGAUCUAGGGUUUCUUUCUUUUUCUCCAAUUAAAAUCCCCCCUUUUUCACAAUAGAUUCCUCCCUUAAAUACUCUCUCUCUCUUCUCUUUUAAAGUUCUAUUUAAAAUAAAAUAAUAAUAUUUGAAAUAUUAAAUUCGUAAUUACAAAAAUAGCCAAAAAUACAAAACACAUUAAACUAAAAACUGCAGGUCCGCAGUUGACAGCACGCGCCCACGCCUUAUCUAUAAAGUUCUUCUGACGCUCUAAAUUUCUCCAAGAGAACAAUCAUCUUUAAACAUCAUCUUAUACCUCAAUUCUAUCACAAAUCAAUAGAAUUGCACUUACAAAAGUAAAACACAAGUAAAUCAUUAUUAUUAAAUGCAAAACAUCGAUAUUAAGGGAAGUAAACAAUGCAAAACUAGUGUAUAAAUUGUACUCUAACACUUGUAUUGGGACCUCUUUCUCUCUCCUAUAGCCCCCAUGGAAGUUCCCCAUUGGCUGCUGUUACUUACAGAAGCCGUAACAUAGACUUCUAGCCAUGUCCCGUGAUGUCCAUUGUCUGCCACUAUGAAUAAUGGCAAUGACAUUGCAAUUGAAACAUUGAAAAGGUAUUUUCGCAAUAUGACAAAGCUUUUGUUAGGAUAUGGGAGGAUUGUCAAAAGUUCACACCACUUGAAACUAGAAUUAGAUCUAAUUUCAUUUAUUUCAUAAAUUAGAAAAGUCUAUGGUCGUGAUAACUUCUAGCCGUGUCCCGUGAUGUCCAUUGUCUGCCACUAUGAAUAAUGGAAAUGACAUUACUAUAAUAAAAUGACAUUGCAAUUCCAAUAUGCAAUUGAAAAGUCUAUGGUCGUGAUAACUUUUGUAAUAUGACAAAGUUUUUGUUGGGGUAUGAGAGGAUUGUCAAAAGUUCACACACCACAUGAAACUAGUGUUAGAUCUAAUUUUAUUUCGUCCGUUCCUUAUAUAUUUAUUUCAUACAUAUAUGUCUUAGGGUGAUAUUGUUUUGUAAAGAUAUAAUAGUAAGGUACUAUAAAAAGAAAAGAACUGUGUGUAUACUUCCCAGUGUAAUAAUUAUAUGUAGAAGAAAACUAACAAGAGGAAAAAUGACAAAGAGCAAGGCGCUGGUUGUUGGGAGAAGAGGACAUGUCGGCAGAGGAUAGAGAAGCCAAUCUUAGCCUUGUUGAUUGAGGGCUCAUCUUCUGAUCAUCGUAGCCUUGUUGGAGCUGUCAAACAAGUCGAUGUUGUCAUUUAAGGAGCCACAACAUUUUGAUGCUGCUUAAACUUGUUGGGGCCAUCAAAUAAGCUGUAAAUAUUAAGGUACGUAAGCCUUAAUUUUUAUGUAAUUUUAAUUUCAGAUCCAAAAUUGCAUGCAAGCCAUUAAUUUCUUUCCUUUUUUAUUUUUGAUUUGAUGAGGUGCUUGAUUUGGUCGGGUGUGUAUUUUUUCUUUGUUCUUUUUUUUUUUAAAACAUAAAUCUCCAAAUCGGGUUGGAGCGGGGAUUCUAACCCUACGAUGGCCAUAUUAAAAUUUAAAAUUUUUUAAUUUAUUUUUCUACAUCUCAAUAUUUGAAAAAAUGAUUAUAUAGAUCUAUAUAUUUUCAAUAAGAGAUACUAAGAUACUCUUUUUUACUAUAACACCUACUAGCUCUAUUAACUCAAAAAAUUAGCUUCAAUGUUAAUAUAUAUAUUUUAAAAUAAUUUUAAUAUUUUAAAAAAAAUGAAAAAAAUAUUUUAAUACUUUACAAGCUUAUACUAUAUUAAACUAAAUUUUGUAAUAAAUAGAAACUUAAUAUAAAAUAAAUGUCUAAAAAUUUAAAUUAUUUUCAAUAGCAUAUAGAAUAAUUAUAAUAUUAUUAAUACCUAAGAUAUAUUAAAUUAAUUAUAAAUUCUAUUUAACACAAAUAUUUAACUAAAUUUUUUAUAAUAAAUAUAAAUAUAUUAUUAAAAUAAAUCUAAUAAUUAACAUUUUAAAAAAUAAUACUGAAAUUAAUUUUUUAAAUUAUACUAACACUAGUUUCACGCUGUGCGAACUUUUGACAAAAACUGUUAAUUGCAAUUUCUUUUGAAAACAAUAGAUCAAAUCAUUAAAGUGCAUGUGAUGAUUUGCUGUUUAAUUAUUUCUUUAGAAUAUAUCCAAACGUAAGGUUGUGAACUAGUGCUUUCUUCAACUUAAUUGGGUCCAACAAUACACUGCAGCUUCCUCUUUUGGUCAUUCCAAGUUUAAUUCUUCAUGAAAAUCUUAGACACUAAUACAAGGAUAUCGAAUCCAAAAUUAUAAUAAUACAUGUAAUUAUUCUAUACAUGCGUCAACAAGGCAACAGUAACCAAAUACAUGAUAUGCAAAGGGGGUGCAUGAUUAAGUCCUUUUUUUAUUCAAUUCAUUGUUAUUAUUCUCAUCAACUCUUUUCUCACUUAUUUUUCAGCAGUUACCAGUGAUCUUUUUGCUCUUUAAAAUUAUUCUUAAAUAUUCAAGGCUAAAUAGAGAAGCUCAUCAACUAUCUGAUCCCGGAUAAUUAAAGAGGUGAACUUGUUCUAAAUCCUUUGAUAAUUUCUAUUAAUAGCAUAAUCUCCUUGAUCUUGACCGCAGUUAUUUCUUAAUGUCCAAGAAAAAAAUAUCUCCUGUUUGUCUUAAUCUUGUCAUUUAAUUUUCUUGAUUUAAGUUACUGUUCAUUGUUAACUUCUGUGUUCUUGUUAUUAGCAUUUGUUAAUUUGCAUCUCUCCUCUAAAAUAGUUUCUAAAAAAGAAUGUUGCUUUUCAUUCAUACCCUUGAAACCUUUCAGUUAAUAGUCAAAACUCUAAUCUUUCAGUUAAUUUAUUUGAAUCCAAUUUUUUCAACAGCAAAUACACACACACAUUGUUAAGCAACAGCCAAAAAAGUGCAGAAAAACCAGUCAAAUUUAUACAUGCGUCAACAGGGAAACAGUAACCAAAUAGGUGAUACAAAAAGGGGUGAAUGAUUCUGUCUUUUCCUUUUGCAAGUCGCUGUUAUUACUCUCAUCAACUUCUUUCUCGCACAUUUCUCAGCAGUUACCAGUAAUAUUUAAAAUCGCUGUGUAGAUAUGCAAAAGUUCCGUAAGUGCAUUAAUAAUUAUUUGCCAGAAAAAAAUAGUUGCGUCAAUAUUAAAGGAAUUGACAUCCAGGGGACCCAAUUUAGUUGCUUAAUGAUUAUUUAAUUAAUUAAUUUAUAAUAUAUUAAUCUUUUAAGUUGAAUAAUUAAAAUCUUAGACCCGAAACAAUAAAUCAUCUGAGGCAUAUAAAAGAGAAAUUAUCAUCCUAUUUUUUCUUUUUUCUUUUUAACUUCUUGUAGCUUAUAAAAGAGAAAUUAUCAGUCAUUUACUCAAAGUUUAUUCAAUUAUUAAAAUUAUUAUAAAAAUUUAAAUUUAUUUAAUUUUACAUCCAAUGUAUGCAAUUUGUAUGAAACAUCUGUUAAAAAUAUAAAGUUAUUCGUUCAAAGUGACAAAAUAGAACCGAACACAAAAUUGUAGUGGUGAUUAUGUUUUAGGAGUAACUUUAUUUUUUUAGUAAACAGUUGAUACACAUUGUAAUAAUGGGUAUAAAAUUAAAUAUUUUUAAAUUUUUAUAACUUUUUGGAUAAUAAGAUAAUUCUUAGAUGGAUAAUUGAAAAUUUUUCUUUUCAAAAUAUUUUGAAAACAAUACCAAAUGUACCAAAACAUUGUUUACUUUCACUCUCUCUCUCUCUCUCUCUCUCUCUCUAUCUAUCUAUCUAUAUAUAUAUAUAUAUAUAUAUAUAUAUAUAUAUAUUAUUUCUUAACUCAUUCUUAUCCUUAUUCUUUCUAACAUAUCCACAAUCUGUCAAUGAAAUUUACUUUUAUAAAUUUGAAGAUUUUUUCAUGCAAUUUUAUACGAUGAUGAGUUCUCAUGUUUCUGUUAAAAAAUAAUUCGUAAAUAAUACAAAUGAAAAAAACAAAAAGUAGCAGGGCUGGCAAUACAAAACCAUAACUUUUUUUCUUUGAAUUUUGCAUAAACAAAGUCAAUAGUGAUUUGUCAGCACGAUCUUGAGAGCACGGCUUGGAGUCUCAAUAAUUAUUGACACUCAUAUUUGAAAACUUUCGAAAAGAUAAAAUCCAAUAUGAAAGGUGAAACGUUAUAAUCAUAGUAACUAGAAAAUGGAUUGAUUUACAAAUAUCAAUUUAAACAAUUUUCAUGUUGAUCGACAAUUUAAGUAGAUUGACAAAGAUUGAAGUAAUUACUGUUGGUGAUUGAUUGACUUUGUCCUUAUCCUUGCCUUCUUCUUAUCAAAAAUCGAGUGUCAAUUAAAUUGGGCCAGGGUUUCUGAUUGCAACUAAUGGACUUCAUAUACGCAUAAUGGUCCCUACGUACAUACGUACCAAUAUUUGAUUGAUAAAGGGGGUGCAUGCUUAAUGCUCAAGUCGUCUUCUUUUGGAAAUUCAUUGUUAUUACUCUCAUCAACUCGUUCCUCACAUUCCUCUUUAGUCAAAACCUGUAAUAUUUCUUCUAUAUUCAAGGUGAAUACAGCAGCUCAUCGACUCUGAUCCCAGACAGGUAAAGAGGUGCACUUGUUCUAAAACCUGUAAUAUUCUUUUAGUAGCAGAAUCUCUGAUACUUGAUCUUCAUAGCGGUUCUUUCUUAAUUUCCAUCAACUUUCCUAGGAAAAAAUUCUCUGGUUUUUCUUAAUCAUAUCAUUUACUUUUCUUAAGUCAUAUCAUUUAUUUUUAGUAGCAGAAUACUUGAUCUUGAUAGCCAUUCUUUCUUAAUUUCCAUCAACUUUCCUUAAAGGAUACCUUUCUGUUAAUAGCGAAACCUCUGAUCCUUAAGAUAGAAAAAGAAAUUCUCUACUUAUGUAUCAGUUGGUUCAAAAUCAAUAUCGCGAUGUUGUUUGCGGUCUUUUCUUUCUCUGUCUUUCCCUCUAGUUCAUUUUAAUUUAUUUGUAUUCCUUUCUUUGACAUUUUUAUUCAUUUUAUUCAUAUAUAUACAUAUAUUGUUAAGCAACAGGCAAUGGUUGCAGAAGUGGGUCUGGCUGCUUUUUCCAGCAUCGUAUCAGAAGAUGCAAAGUCACUGUUCAAACCGAUUAUACGGCAGAUCUCUUAUGUGUUCAAGUACCAGAGCUACAUAGAUGGCCUAAAAGAUCAAGUGAAACAGUUGGGAUAUAAAAGAGAAAGGGUGGAAAUACCCGUUCAUCAGGCUACUCAACAAGGAGAUGAGAUUUAUAAGGAUGUUGCAGACUGGCUUAAUAGCGUCAAGGAAUUCACUCAGGGAGCUGCGAAAUCCAUCACUGAUGAUGAAGAUAGAGCUAAGAAGUUCUGUUUCAAAGGAUUGUGCCCAAACUUGAUUUCUCGUUACAAGCUCAGUAGACAAGCAGCAAAGGCCGCAGAAGCUGCUGCUAGUCUCAUGGGAAAAUGUAACUUCUCUAAUGUUUCCUACCGUCCUGCUCCAAAGCGGGCAGAACAUAUGCAAGUGAAAGAUUUCGAGGCCUUUGAUUCAAGAAUGAAAGUAUUUGAAGAUGUUGUGGAGGCGUUGAAGGAUGAUAAGCUCAAGAUAAUUGGGGUCUACGGGAUGGGCGGCGUGGGUAAAACCACGCUAGUCAAGCAAGUUGCAAGGCAAGUUAUGGAAGAUAAGGUGUUCGACAAGGUCGUUAUGGCUGAGGUAACACAGACCCCAGAUCAUCAGGAAAUUCAAAAGAAACUUGCUUUUGACUUAGGCAUGAAAUUUGGCUCGGAUGAGAAUAAAUUCGAAAGAGCAGAUCGAUUACGUGAAAGAUUGAAGAACGAGAAGCAGGUCCUCGUUAUAUUGGAUAAUAUUUGGAAAAAACUCGAGUUCGAAAAAGUUGGAAUUCCUUGUGGGGAUGUUGAUGAGAAAGAUACAAAGGAUGAUCAGAGACGAUGCACAAUAAUAUUGACGUCUAGAAGUCGAGAUUUAUUGCGCAUUGAUAUGAAUUCUCAGAAAAAUUUCCCGAUCGAUGCUUUGCCACCAAAAGAAGCAUUGCAGUUAUUUGAAAAGAUAGUGGGUGAUUCAACUAAAAUAUCUGCUUUUCAAAGUAUAGCAAAUGAGAUCGUUGAAAGAUGCGGAGGUUUGCCUGUUGCACUGAGUACAGUUGCAAAUGCUCUGAAAACUAAGGAUAGUUACUUUUGGAAAGAUGCAUUGAAUCAGC